rnacentral:lncRNA from 1 species
GACCUCAAUGCAGUGCUCUCGUGCAUGCUUACAAGAUUACAGCAGUGACGUCUGCUCCUGGAACUGAAGUGCCAGGAGGCGAAGAGGACCCACCGGAGGAAGAUGGCUGAACUACAAAAGAGAGGUUCAGGUAACUAAAUAUCACCUUUACCUGUUCCCCCUAGCCACCGGACCCUAAGCCACCAUAUUCCAUUAUCAUAUUCCAAUCUGGGUAUCAUUACAAAAUGUAAUUACAUCCAAGGAGAACUGUAUGUUCCUCAGCAGUAAUCUAAAUACAAAUAUACUGUUUUGCCCUAAGCUAUGUGCUAGUUAUAGACCCCAGGUUUAUUAUUUUUUAAAAUUGUAUACAAUUUAUGGUGACGGGAUUACUUAAAUAUGUGAUAUCAGGCAAAGGCUGGGUGAUGUAUAUUACUAAUUACCUAAAUAAAUCAUUUAAAAAAAUUACAACACUAACAUAGAUUUGCAAUGGAUACAGUCUGUGUUGAUAUCUUUAUAUAUUAAACGUAAAGGAAAUGUGACAAGUUGGGAUGUAUUUGAUAUUUACAUACAUUUGUUUGAAACAAAAUAUGUCCAAUAGCAGCUGAAUGGAAAAAGAUAGAUUCACACUUUUUUCACUAAAAGCCAAAUUGCAGUAAAUUGCAAUCUAUAUAUGGUAAAAUUAAUUUAUUUUAGAUUUAAUUUUGCAAUUAUAUUUCAACUCAUUAUCAUUUCUUCUUUAGUUAGCUGACCAUGCAUCAAGCCAGUCAGUGUUUUACACUAAAGCAGGGCAUUUGGGGAAUUUAAAAUGUCCUGUAAUAUUUUUAUUUUUCAAAAAAUUAGCAAAAAAGGACCUGUAGACCUUAUCUCCAUGCAAUAUGCAAUACCAAAGACCUUAUCUCCAUGCAAUAUGCUUAUUUUUAUUUUAAGGGAAUAUUGCAAACCAAUAAUCAUAGGUUCAGUUAAAAGCAGGAUGCAACUAUUUACACUAGAAAAAAUGUGUAAGGUCAAUCUGAACCAUAUUUAACCCCUUAAGGACACAUGACAUGUGUGACAUGUCAUGAUUCCCUUUUAUUCCAGAAGUUUGGUCCUUAAAGGACCACUAUAGUGCCAGGAAAAAAAACUUGUUUUCCUGGCACUAUAGUGCCCCCACCCUCAGGGACCCCCUCCCGCCCGGCUCUGGAAGGGGGAAAGGGGUUUAAACUUACCUUUUUCCAGCGCUGGGCGGGGAGCUCUCCUCCUCCGAUCCUCCUUCUCUCCGCCCAUUCGGCUGAAUGCGCACGCGCGGCAAGAGCUGCGCGCGCAUUCAGCCGGUCUCAUAGGAAAGCAUUUACAAUUUACAAUGCUUUCCUAUGGACGCUUGCGUGCUCUCACUGUGAUUUUCACAGUGAGAAUCAUGCAAGCGCCUCUAGCGGCUGUCAAUGAGACAGCCGCUAGAGGCUUUGGAGGAAGGCUUAACCCAUUUAUAAACAUAGCAGUUUCUCUGAAACUGUUAUGUUUAUAAAAAAAUGGGUUAACCCUAGCUGGACCUGGCACCCAGACCACUUCAUUAAGCUGAAGUGGUCUGGGUGCCUAGAGUGGUCCUUUAAGGGGUGAGAGAUUUCACCUGCAGCAGUAUAAAUGGUUAUACACAAUAUUAGCAAUAAAGAUAUGUAAUUCACUGUCUAGAGCAGGGAUAGGCAAUCUCUGGCACUCCAGCUGUUGUGAACUACAUCUCCCAUGAUCCUCUUUUAGUUAUACUGCCGAGAGAGCAUCAUGGGUGAUGUAGUCCACAACAUCUGGAGUGCCGAAGGUUGCCUACCCCUGGUCUAGAAAGCAUUGUGCUGUCAAAUUGAAUAAACGUUCUCCCAGUACUGAGCACUCUUACAUUUCCCCCUUCUGUGUUUCUUGUGAUUCCUCUCUUUAUAUAGUACAUUUUCCUCACGAUUUGCCUUUGGUUAUUAUUUCUAUUUAAUUAAAUUUUGUUUCAUUGUUUUCCUUUUUGUGACCCUCCUGUCUAUCUUUUAACAUGGCUUUGAAUGUCCUGUUUUUAUGCCUCGUUUUUGUCCGUCCUCCCUCUUGUGCCAUAGAGGUAAGGGAAUAAGACAUUGGUGCAUUAACUGCCAUGUAAUCUAAUAUUAUCCUGUAUUUACCUUAUCUGCAUACAGGUUUCCUGCAUAACUGGGAACGCAGCUGCUGGAUUUUGAUAAAAUGUUGGUGCAGAGCAGAAAGAACAGCUGUCGUGGUCCUCUUGGAAAGAGCAAUUAAACUCUGACUCAGGUAAUACCCAGGCGUUACUGGAAGGUAGCGCUCCAGAACUGAAGAACACAAAAACCAGUAUUGUAAACAGCAACUCUAAAAUCUUCAAAACUUUUACACUGAAUGAAAUAUAACGCACACACACACAAAUUACAAGCAAUAUAAUUCUAAAUUGAAUGAGAUAUGUUUCUGAAAAUGGUAAAGUCCACUGCGCUUAAAUCAGGAGAGUUGAGCAACAAAGAAGACAUAAAAAAAACAUUUGCAGAGCAUAUGCAACAAUUCAGAUAUAAAGAUCGUGACAGACUCGUGCAUUGUGAAAAAAAAUGAUGUUCAUGGAUUUGUCAGGAAAAAAAAGUGUUUGUUGAUUAGGAAUUUGUCUAUGUGGUGUUUCGGUGUCAUCUAUGUAAUCAUUUUGAGAAAAAACUAUUUGGAUGAAUCAAAAAGGUGCAAUAAUGGGCCAAUCAGUGUACUAAUACAUUUUACCCCCAUUUGGUUCACUGAUCAAGUGAAAAAAAAAAAGAACCAAAAGAGAGAAAAAAUAAAAAAUAAAAUCUACAUUUAUGUGAUUUUUACAUUUAUUAAUAGAUUUAAUAUAUAAAAAUAACAAUAUAGAUUUUUAUUUUUUUUAAAUCUAUCUAUGAUUAAAUCAACAUUUAGUGGCUGUCCCCUAAACUUUUUCCCCUCAUCGAUCACCUCUUUUAUUGGCGCCACGAACGGAACUCAAAAUCACGAAUCAAACUAAACAGUUUGUCCAUUGUCCAUUUAGUUUGUUGUUUGUUGUUUGUUUCAAUUUUUUUCCCCAGUUUCUAUACAUCCACAAAGCGUUUCGAAGUUACAGAAUUCGUAAGAAAAGACGAAUCGCAAUUUGUUCGAAAUCGAAUGCACAAGUUUGGAUCAUCAUACCAUGAGCCCCUUGUGCUAAAUGCUUAUCUGGCAUAUAUGCCUCUUGAGCUGUUGAAAUCUGUAUUUGGAAGUAACGCUGGCAUGUGACUGAUGAAAGCGUCAACGUUUUUUUUUUUUUCUCUUGGAAUGUGGUGGAAGUGUUUGUACAAUGCAUCGGUCACUGAGCUGCUUAAUAUUUCCGCUUGGGAUUUAAUUCUUUCUCCAUGACGCUUAACCCUAUCCAUGCAAAGGAACUUAAUCAGUAAAAAAAGUAGCUGUCACAAAGUUCCCUACCGGCUUGUUACACUAUAAUUUAUUCUACUUUUCCCGUCCUUCCCUGAUUUUUGACUUGUGUGCCAGGAAAGGUCACAGACCAGACAUACAAGGGCCUGGACAAUUAGCUAUCAGUAAAGGAGCAUAGGAGGACAUGGAAAGAGGUGGAGGCGGCUUAUAUUUACCGGGUGAAAAAAAUUGUGAACACAGAGAAAAAUGACUUCUAUAGUAACUUUAUCCUGACUAUGGUAAGUAUAUUGUUGGCUCCAAAAGAAGGAUCGAAUUUGUUUAAAGUUACAUCUAUAAAAAUAUAUCAGCUGUAUUGUUUAUAAUGAAAUUUCUUCAUCACUUCUGUUUUGGACAAAGUUUUUAAAAAAUAACUUGUAAUAUAUUAGGGUUUUCAGCGAUAGAGUACAGCACAGAGUAUCUUCUCAGCCAAAUUUUAAUCAAUUGCACAUGGCCACUAUACAAUGUCAGCUGGUAGCAAGUCGCUGUAGAGACAUAGGGUUUUUCUCACUAAACAGCAAAUUGUAGUGAAUUGAAAACAGAAUGUAAAAAUUCACGUCAAAACAGUUAUUUGGAAAAAUUCUCUAAUCAAAGCUUGGCUAUUUUAGCAUGAUCUUUGUUUAUAUUUUAUAUUUAUAUGGUGGUGAUGUAAGCUUAUUGAGCAGGGCCCCCCACCUCUCUGUUCCUGUACGUCCAGUUGUCUGGUUACAAUGACAUGUCUGUUAGUCCACCCAUUGUACAGCGCUUCGGAAUCUGAUGGUGCUAUAUAAAUAAUAAAAUAAUAAUCCACUGAAUCCAAGCCAACUUAUCGAUGAUGUGGCUCAACAGCUGGGCAGUUACCUGAUGACCUUUAAUCUCUGUUAUCCACUGAUGUUACUGGUGUCGAUAGGACUUUUUAUCCUUUAAUGUAGACUAAUACUACGGAGCUUACAAACACUCAUUAAAUAUAGUUCUGGACUAUAUCUCCCAUAAUACUCUUAUAGCUAUAAUGCUGGCAAAGUAUCAUGGGAGAUGUAGUCCACAGCAUGUGGAGUGCUGAAGGUUGCCUAACCCUGAUCUAAUAUAAACAUAAUAAUCUUACAUAAAUUUAUAGCUCUACUUGCCAACAUUGGAAGAUGGAGAUUUGUCAUGUCUGGGGGUGUGAUAUAGAAGAAACAUGCCAGCCUCAUAUGUAUGUCCGCCAAGCCACAAGCAAAAAUACUUCUCUGAUGCCCUCAUACGUGUUGACAAUUUCUAUCAUUAAUUUCUCCAAUGUCGCAGAGAAAACAACAUCAAAGAAAGAAAUAAUUUUAAAAAGCCACAUUUGGGUUCAAAAUCACAAGUUGUCUGCCAGAUGCAGGGCGGUUGGAAAGCAGGUCAAUUACAGAUUAAUGCGUCACUGUCACUUUAAGACUUUUUAAAAAUAAUUUUACCUGUCCCUCCAUAUCUCUUUGUUUUUAUUUAUUUUUUUUGUUUUGUUUUUACUUAUUCGUAAAAUAAAUUAGCUAUUGUUCCUUAUGGGGAGUGUAAUCUUUGUUGAUACAUCAGUCCAUAGAAUCCAACAAAAAGGGCAGACUGCAGACAUCAUGGACAGACGAGAAGAAAAAAUAAUAAAUAUAAAUAAACAUUUCUAAACACAUUCACAAUCUCCCCAUUCAUUAAAGGAACCCUCCUAGCACCAUAAUCACUUCAGUGCACUUCAGGGAUACCCUUGUGCCCUCUCAGGAUAAAUAAUCAAACCAUUUGAAAAUGGUUUAACAGCUUACAUGAAGUUGGCCAGAUGCCAGUGAUGGCCUUAAGAAAGACUAAGAAUCUCCUGCAUGGAACUUGCAUUAGCUCUCUUGAUUUGAGCAGUGUGGGCUAGCUCAUUGUCUUAAAAUAUCGGCUAGUGCAGCGAUGGCGAACCUAUGGCACGCGUGUCACAGCUGGCAUGACAAGCCCUCUGUGGGCACGCAGCCAUAGUUCGCCGGGGGGGUGCCACAAUUGCCCCCCCAAGAGUCAAUGCUCUCUCCUGCAGGGCCGGUGCUAUCCAAACUGCUGGGUGCCUUCACAGACCCUGCUGGGUGCCUUCACGGACCGCAGGGGAGAUCAGAGAUCUCCCUCACCAGUCCGCAUGCACAUUGCCGCAGGGGAGGGAGAGGAGACCCGGGAGCUCUAGCUUGUAGUUCGGCUGGGUUUCCUCUCACUAGUACAGAGCAUUGCCUUGGUUACCAUGGCAAUGCUCCGUUCUCAUGAGAGCCCAGGAGAUGCAGGCUAGAGUUCACUCCCCACUAGAACCGCCAGGGCUUCUCGUCUGGACCACCAGGGCUUCACAAUCGAUAUCACCCAUCCCUGGACCAAGAUAAGAAGGGAGGGGGGAUAUAAAGCAUAUUUUUUAAUUAAAAAAACUUUAUUUGUUUUAAUCAGCCCCCAACUACACACACAUUGUCCCCACUGCACCCCCAUACACACACUGCCCCCACUGUACCCCCAUACACACACUUAUCCCCAUACAUAAAGUGCCCCCACUGUACCCCCAUACACACACUGCCCCCACACACACACACUUCUCCCCCAUACACACACUGCAACCCACACACACUGGCCCCACCAUACACUCACACACUUUUCCCUCCCCCGUACACACACACACAGUGCACACCCAUACACACACUGCACCCCACAGAAACACUGCACCCCCAUACAAACACUGCCUCCACUACACCUCAUAAACACUGGCCCCAUACACACAGUGUUCCCACUGCAACCCAUGUAUACACUCCACUCCCAUGCACACACUACCCCCCUAGUUCGGACAACUGUGUGAGUUGUUUUUUUUUUAAACUUAAACCUCAGUAUUCAGGUUUAAUUGCCGUGUUGGCACUUUGAGGGAAAAAAAAGUUGGUUUGUAUUAUGGUUUGGGCACUCAGGCUCAAAAACCAUCACUGGGCUAGUGCUUUUACCUAGUGGGCUAGUGAAGAAAGCUUAAGGCUCUCCUGGAGGAAGAGACCAGCACCUGGAGGACACCAGGGACAUUGUCAAACCAUUUGCAAACAAUUCGACUGCUUACUCUAGGAUGGCGCCAGGGUACUUAUGUAGUUAUGGUGCGUGAGUAACAAGAAUGACUUCUCUGGCAUUUUUUGAAAGUCUUACGUGAAGCUUUCCAUGUUCCUUUUCCUAUGGGAGGAAUUCCUGUUAUCAAAAUUAUUUUACUAUUUCAUUAUUCCUUAGUGUCAGGAUUUCCUUAUACCAUGGUCUCACAUUUGGAGCUUUGUGUGCAUUUUGCCGCCAUCUAGAGGCCAGUCACAGAAGUGCAUAUAUAAUAGAUCUGUACUUUGAACGCAUACAUUUAUUUAUUUAUUGUUAUAAGUGUGGCAUAUUCACAUUGCAAAUUAAUAAGUUAUCAGCAAGGUGUAGCAUAAUGCAUGGUUAGGUAGCAGGUCUCCAAUCAGAGUGAGCAUAUUUUUUAAUUAUUGAUUGAUCUGUCUUGUGAGUUUAUACCAAACACGUCAAGCUUGCAGCCCAUGGGCCACAUGCCUAUGACUAUCUUUGCGGCCCACCUGCCCUGUGGCCACUUUGUGUUGUGGCUGCAACUGAUUCUUGUCUUCCCUCCCAUGACCAAUCGCGUGCUCCUGUGGCCACAAGAGCUCAGAGUGGCUGUCUGCAGAGCAGGCCAGCCACUUCCCCUUCCCUCCUACUCGAAGUGCCAGAGGAGCAUCUGGCUUACUUUAGCAGAGAAGAGCAGGGCUGGAACUUGAGUACGGGCAGCUCAUCUCAAGGUAGGGGAAGAGGGGCUUGGGGGAGGGGGGCAGUGUAUUAAAGGACCACUAUAGUGCCAGGAAAACAUACUCGUUUUCCUGGCACUAUAGUGCCCUGAGGGUGCCCCCACCCUCAGGGUCCCCCUCCCGCCCGGGUCCCCCUCCCGCCCGGCUACCUUUUUCCUUCGCUGGGCGGAGAGCUCUCCUCCUCCGAUCCUCCUUCUCUCCUCCCCGUCGGCUGAAUGCGCACGCGCGGCAAGAGCUGCGCGCGCAUUCAGCCGGUCACAUAGGAAAGCAUUCAUAAUGCUUUCCUAUGGACGCUGGCGUGCUCUCACUGUGAAAAAUCACAGUGAGAAGCACGCAAGCGCCUCUAGUGGCUGUCAAUGAGACAGCCACUAGAGGAAUAGGGGGAAGGCUUAACCCAUUCAUAAACAUAGCAGUUUCUCUGAAACUGCUAUGUUUAUGAAAAAAUGGGUUAACCCUAGCUGGACCUGGCACCCAGACCACUUCAUUAAGCUGAAGUGGUCUGGGUGCCUAGAGUGGUCCUUUAAUUUGGGAGAGGGAGGGAGGGUAGCAGUGUAUUAAAUUGGUGAUAGAGGAGGCAGUGUAUUAGUGGUGAAAGGGGAGGGGCAGUGUAUUAGAGUGAUGGAAGGGGGGCAGUGUGUUAAUGUUGUAGGAAGGCAGUGUAUUAAAUUGGGGAGGGAGGGGGCAGUGCAUUAAAUUAGAGUGGUGGGAGUAGAGGCAGUGUAUUCAAUUAGAGUGGAGGGGGGCAGUGUAUUAGAUUUGUGGGCAGUGUAUUAGAUUGGGUCUGCAUGGAGACGCUUAAUGCUCCCCAGUGGUGUACACACAAUCCAUGGGGCCCCGAUGUGAAACUGAUCUAUACCCUCCUCCCUCUCUCUUCGCCCCCCCUCUUUCCCUCCCUCUCACCCCCUCUCAUUCCCCUCUCACCUGACAGACACACACACACACACACACACACAUACAUACAGACACACAUACAUACAGACACAUACACACAUAGACACAGAUAGACAGAUACAUACAGACACAUUCACACAGACAGACAUACACACAAGACACACAUACAUACAAAGACACAUACAUACAUACAUACAUACAGACACACACACACACAGACACACAUAGACACAGACACACAUAGACACAGACACACACACACACACACACACACAUACAAAGACACAUACAUACAUACACAGACAGAUAUAUACAGACAGACAUACUCACAGACACAUACAUACAGACAGACACACACACACACACACAUACACAUACAAAGACACAUACAUACAUACAAACAGACAUACAUACAUACAAACAGGCACACACACAGACAUACAGAUACACACACAUACACACAGACACACAUACAGACCGACAGACACAGACACAUACAUACAGACACAUACACACACAGACACGCACGACACACAAACACAUACAUACAAACAAACAAACACACACACAUAUACAAAAUGUUAAAGUCACCCCCCUGUUUCCUACCUUUUAGGUGCAGGAGGCUGACUUUCCCUGGGGUCCAGUGGUGGCUCAGGUUGAUGGGAAUCAGAGUUCCUACUCUGACUCCCUCUUCUUCCUCCCACAUAGCUCUCUGAUAGCUGGGAGGAGUGACCGAUGAUCAAGUUUGAUGAUCUCAGCCAAAGUGCAGAACACACUCAUAGGACUUCAAAAUCAACAAGAUAACAUAAUCUGCUUUUUACAGCUGUGCAACAGCAUACAUUCACCAUUUCAAUCCCAUUGCCAAACGUUUCUUAAAGGACCACUAUAGUGCCAGGAAAACAUACUUGUUUUCCUGGCACUAUAGUGCCCUGAGGGUGCCCCCACCCUCAGGGUCCCCCUCCCGCCCGGCUCUGGGGAGAGGAAAGGGGUUAAAACUUACCUUUCUCCAGCGCCGGGCAGGGAGCUCUCCGCUUCCGAUCCUCCUCCUCUCCUCCCUUUCGGCUGAAUGCGCACGAGCGGCAAGAGCUGCGCGCGCAUUCAGCCGGUCUCAUAGGAAAGCAUUUACAAUGCUUUCUUAUGGACGCUUGCGUGUUCUCACUGUGAUUUUCACAGUGAGACUCACGCAAGCGCCUCUAGCGGCUGUCAAUGAGACCGCCGCUAGAGGCUUUGGAGGAAGGCUUAACCCAUUUAUAAACAUAGCAGUUUCUCUGAAACUGCUAUGUUUAUAAAAAAAUGGGUUAACCCUAGCUGGACCUGGCACCCAGACCACUUCAUUAAGCUGAAGUGGUCUGGGUGCCUAGAGUGGUCCUUUAAUAUGUCAAGGUAGUUGGACUGAAACAUUGGCUAUGGCUAUGCAAAUGCAUGUCUCCUUAAAAUAAUUUUUUUCUUUUGUUUAAUUUGAAGCCUUACAAGCGUGAGGACGUCCAGUGUCAGUUAGGCAACUUUGUUUAUACUUUACUUUUCUAAAUAAAUCUACGUUUCUACGAAACUGAAGUUUUUAAUUUAUUUGGCCGUGUUAGCUUUUGAAUUUGACGUGCUUGGUUUAUACAUUAACCGAAUACACCCUAUUAAGGCAAACCUUAAUAAUUACGUGAGAAAACAAAAAAUAAAACCUUAGAUAUAUAGUAGCAACUAAUUUUUUUUUUUUUUUUGCAGAACUCCAAAACUUUCUAAGGCAGUAAAUACGUUAAAAGGGAACCGUCAGUACCCAGUAUUUGAAAUAGUAUGUUUACUUAUCCCUAUAUUUAACAAAUAUUGAUUUGAGUUAAAAUAAAAUGUAGAGAUUCACACCUCUUUAUCCUGAAAGUGGCCACCUCCAUCUUGGCUCCCUGUCAAUCAUUGUUAUAAGUUCCGUCCUUUGCACUUGGCAGUCAAUACAGAGAGAGCACACAGGGAAGAGGAGAAAUUAAACAAUGUUUCUAUGUAUUUUUACCCUGGCUUUGCCUCAUGUGAAAUGAAUCAUGAAUGUAAACGUGUUGAAUCAUUAUUGUAAAUGUACCAUCCUGUGUAAAGGUUAACGCAAGUUAUAGCUUUGUAACAAAAUGUGGACAAUGUAUACUCUACAGGGGAUUACUCCCACUCGGGUGUUCCAGAAAGGGAGGGCAAAUCCCCAAAGACCCCAUGGAAAAUGCAAACUGACGUCCUGGCACACUUAGUGGUGUCUUGUAAUAGCAAUCUUUUAUAUGGAAACAGGAUAAAGCAGCAAUGUUUCAGCUCUUUCAUGAGCCUUUGUCAAGACUUGCUAUUAGAAGAAACCACUAGGUGUACCUGAACGUUCUUUUGAAUUUAACACACGUUAUAGGUGUUUUAUUCCCAAUGUGUAAAUUCUGACCGUUCCAACUUAAAGGGACUCUCCAGUGCCAGGAAAACAAACCAUUUUCCUUUCACUUCAGGUCCCCUAUCCCUCCCACCCGCCAUCCCAGGUUGCUGAGGGGGUUAAAACCCCUUCAGUGACUUACCUGUAUCCAGCGCCGAUGUCCCUCGGCGCUGGGUCAGGCUCCGCCAACUCUCCUCCCCCGCCGACGUCAGCCGGCAAGGGAGACCUAAUGUGCAUGCUUUCCUAUUGGGAUUCCGGCAACACUGGAGGUCCUCAUGCAUUGCGUGAGGACGUCCAGCAUCUCUUAAAACACUAAAAAUGUUUUAAGAACCCGGAAGCUCUUCUAGUGGCUGUCUCAUAGACAGCCACUAGAGGAGGACUUAACCCUGUUAGGCAAUUAGUACAGUUUAUGAAAAACUGCACUAAUUACACUUGCAGGGUUAAGGGUAGUGGGAGUUGGCACCCAGACCACUCCAAUGGGCAGAAGUGGUCUGGGUGCCUAGAGUGUCCCUUUAACCCCUUAAGGCCUAAACUUCUGGAAUAAAAGGGAAUCAUGACAUGUCACACAUGUCAUGUGUCCUUAAGGGGUUAAAGAUGUGCUUUAAGUACCAUAAACACUACAGUUAUGGGUGAUUACGGUGCCAUGUCUAUGGGUUCCAUAGCCUUUAUUUAUCUAACUGUUUUGUAGCAAUAGACCUCCCCUCUUCUGCUGCACUGUUAAUAGGACAAUUAAACCCCCACAUUAUGACAAGUGAAUCCAUUACAAUUAGAAAGCUGAAGGCUGUUACAUGACUUGAUAUGACAGAAAUACACAGAUAUAUUAGCUUGAUUAGAGCUCUAUUUCUAAUCUAUAUAUAGUGUCUGUUUGUCCUGCUGCUUUGAAAGGACAAUCUAAGCACCAGAACACAACAGCUUAAUGUUAUUGUUCGGGUGUAAAGAGACUGUCCCUGCAGGCAGGGCUGCCAUCAGAAAUUUUGGGGCCCCUAACAAAUCACAAGGUCUGGGCGCCCCUCCCUCCACCCCCCAGCCCGCUCAUGAGUCCGCACACAGGAUUCCUACCUAGUCAGCUGUCAAUGAUGCACGACUGAAUGUGGUGUGUAUAGUGGAAGUGAAUUAGAAUGUGUGUAAUGGAUGUAGUGUUUGUGUGUAUUAGAUACUGUUUGUGCAGUGAAUGCAGAGUGUGUGUUUGUGUAGCGGAUGCAGUGUGUAUAGUGAACGCAGAGCGUGUUUGAGUAGUGGAUGUAGUGUGUGUACAGUGAUGUAGUGUGUGUUUGCGUAGUGGAUGUAGUGUUUGUGUGGACUAGAUGCAAUGUGUUUAGUGGAUGCCGUGUCUGUAAUGGAUGUAGUAGUGUGUGUAUUAGACACAGUGUCUCUGUAUAGUGAAUGCAGAGUGUUUGAAUGUGUGGUGGUUGUAGUGUGUGUACUGUGAAUGCAGGAUGUUUGUGUAGUGGAUGCUGUGUGUAUAAAUAAUGCAGAGUGUAUGUCAGUGUAAUGGAAGCAUUGUGUUAGUGUAGUGAAUGCAGUGUGUGUUAGUGUAGUGUGUGUUAGUGUAGGGAAUGCAGUGUGUGUGUUAAUGUAGUGAAUGCAGAGUGUGUGUUAGUGUAGUGAAUGCAGAGUGCGUGUCAGUGUAGUGAAUGCAGAGUGUAUGUCAGUGUAAUGAAUGCAGAGUGUGUGUCAGUGUAAUGAAUGCAGUGUGUUUGUUAGUGCAGUGAAUGCAGUGUGUGUGUUAGUGUAAUGAAUGCAGUGUGUGUUAGUGCAGUGAAUGCAGUGUGUGUGUCAGUGUAGUGAAUGCAGAGUGUGUGUCAGUGUAAUGAAUGCAGUGUGUUUGUUAGUGCAGUGAAUGCAGUGUGUGUGUUAGUGUAAUGAAUGCAGUGUGUGUUAGUGUAAUGAAUGCAGAGUAUAUGUUAGUGCAGUGAAUGCAGUGUGUGUGUUAGUGUAAUUAAUGCAGAGUGUUUGUUAGUGUAGUGAAUGCAGUGUGUGUUAGUGUGAUGAAUGCAGAGUGUGUGUUAGUGUAAUGAAUGCAGUGUGUGUGUCAGUGUAAUAAAUGCAGAGUGUGUGUUAGUGCAGUGAAUGCAGUGCAUGUUAGUGUAAUGAAUGAAGAGUGUGUGCUAGUGUAGUGAAUGCUGAGUGUGUGUUAGUGUAAUGAAUGGAGAGUGUGUGUUAGUGUAGUGAAGGCAGUGUCUGUGUUAGUGUAAUGAAUGCAGUGUGUGUGUCAGUGUAAUGAAUGAAGAAUGUGUGUUAGUGUGGUGAAUGCAGUGUGUGUGUUAAUGUAAUGAAUGCAGAGUGUGUGUUAGUGCAGUGAAUGCAGUGUGUGUGUUAGUGUAAUGAAUGAAGAGUGUGUGUUAGUGUAGUGAAUGCUGAGUGUGUGUUAGUGUAAUGAAUGGAGAGUGUGUGUUAGUGUAGUGAAUGCAGAGUGUGUGUCAGUGUAAUGAAUGCAGAGUGUGUGUUAGUGUAGUGAAUGCAGUGUGUGUUUUAGUGUAAUAAAUGCAGAGUGUGUGUUAGUGCAGUGAAUGAAGUGUGUGUGUCAGUGUAGUGAAUGCAGUGUGUCUUAGUGUAGUUAAUGCCGUGUGUGUGUCAGUGUUGUGAAUGCAGUGUGUGUUAGUGUAGUGAAUGCAGUGUGUGUUAGUGUAAUGAAUGCAGAGUGUGUGUCAGUGUAGUUAAUGCAGUGUUUGUUAGUGUAAUGAAUGCAGCGUGUGUGUGUGUUUACUAGUGUAUGCAUGUAAUAUAAUGAAAGUUAUUCCCCCCUCCCUGUUUCUUCAUGGUUCCGGGAGGGGGGAAGAUUCCAUGAUCCCUGGUGCUCAGGUGGCAUGGUGGGGCCCCCGGCUCCCUGUGUUUGCAGAGGGGGCCCAGCGGACUGCAGGAGCACUUUACAGAUCUUCCCUCUCUCUAACUCCUGCAAGAUGUGGUGUGCGCGCGGAGCAUUGCCAUGAUAACCUGUGGCAACGCUCUAACGGCCGCAUGUCUCGCGGGAGUUAGAGAGAGGGAAGAUCUGUAAAGUGCUCCUGCAGUCCGCUGGGCCCCCUCUGCAAACACAGGAAGCCGGGGGGGGGCCCGCAGCUGCAAAUGUAUAUAGCGAUCAUCUAUAUAUGUGUAUAGAGUGAUUCUGGGGCCCUGGACUGCCAAAGCAUUCCAGGCCCCCCAGGACCGCCGGGCCCGUGACAACCGUCAUAGAAACAUAGAAACAUAGAAUGUGACGGCAGAUAAGAACCAUUCGGCCCAUCUAGUCUGCCCAAUUUUCUAAAUACUUUCAUUAGUCCCUAGUCUUAUCUUAUAGUUAGGAUAGCCUUAUGCCUAUCCCACUCAUGCUUAAACUCCUUUACUGUGUUAACCUCUACCACUUCAGCUGGAAGGCUAUUCCAUGCAUCCACUACCCUCUCAGUAAAGUAAUACUUCCUGAUAUUAUUUUUAAACCUUUGUCCCUCUAAUUUAAGACUAUGUCCUCUUGUUGUGGUAGUUUUUCUUCUUUUAAAUAUAGUCUCCUCCUUUACUGUGUUGAUUCCCUUUAUAUAUUUAAAUGUUUCUAUCAUAUCCCCCCUGUCUCGUCUUUCCUCCAAGCUAUACAUGUUAAGAUCCUUUAACCUUUCCUGGUAAGUUUUAUCCCGCAAUCCAUGAACCAGUUUAGUAGCCCUUCUCUGAACCCUCUCUAAGGUAUCAAUAUCCUUCUGAAGAUACGGUCUCCAGUACUGUGUACAAUACUCCAAGUGAGGUCUCACCAGUGUUCUGUACAAUGGCAUGAGCACUUCCCUCUUUCUACUGCUAAUACCUCUCCCUAUACAACCAAGCAUUCUGCUAGCAUUUCCUGCUGCUCUAUUACAUUGUCUGCCUACCUUUAAGUCAUCAGAAAUAAUCACCCCUAAAUCCCUUUCCUCAUAUGUUGAGGUUAGGACUCUAUCAAAUAUUCUGUACUCUGCCCUUGGGUUUUUACGUCCAAGAUGCAUUAUCUUGCACUUAUCCACAUUAAAUGUCAGUUGCCACAAUUCUGACCAUUUUUCUAGUUUACCUAAAUCAUUUGUCAUUUGGCUUAUCCCUCCUGGAACAUCAACCCUGUUACAUAUCUUAGUAUCAUCAGCAAAAAGACAUACCUUACCAUCAAGACCUUCUGCAAUAUCACUAAUAAAAAUAUUAAAGAGAAUGGGUCCAAGUACAGAUCCCUGAGGUACCCCACUGGUGACAAGUCCAAGCUUCGAAUAUAUUCCAUUAACUACAACCCUCUGUUGCCUGUCACUCAGCCACUGCCUUACCCAUUCAACAAUAUUGGAAUCCAAACUUAAAGAUUGCAGUUUAUUGAUAAGCCUUCUAUGUGCAACAGUGUCAAAAGCCUUACUGAAAUCUAGGUAAGCAAUGUCUACUGCACCACCCUGAUCUAUAAUUUUAGUUACCCAAUCAAAAAAAUCAAUAAGAUUAGUUUGGCAUGAUCUCCCUGAAGUAAACCCAUGUUGUCUCUGAUCUUGAAAUCCAUGUGUUUUUAGAUGUUCAUCAAUCCUAUCCUUUAACAUGGUUUCCAUCACUUUCCCCACUACUGAAGUAAGGCUUACUGGCCUAUAGUUGCCCGACUCCUCCCUAUUACCUUUCUUGUAAAUGGGCACAACAUUCGCUAACUUCCAAUCUUCUGGGACUACUCCUGUUAACAAUGAUUGGUUAAAUAAAUCUGUUAAUGGUUUUGCUAGUACACCACUAAGCUCUUUUAAUAGCUUUGGGUGUAUUCCAUCAGGUCCCAUUGACUUAUUUGUCUUUACUUUUGACAGUUGAAAUAGAACCUCUUCCUCUGUAAACUCACGUGUAAUAAAUGACUCAUUUAUCCUUUUUCUCAACUGAGGUCCCUUUCCUUCAUUUUCUACUGUAAAUACAGAACAAAAAUAUUCAUUGAGGCAGUCAGCCUGACCUUUAUCCUCUUCUACAUACCUUCCUUCUUUUGUUUUUAAUCUAACUAAUCCUUGUUUUACUUUUCUUUUCUCAUUUAUGUAUCUAAAAAUGUUUUAUCCCCCUUUUUUACUGACUGUGCUAUUUUCUCUUCUGUGUGUGAUUUGGAAGCUCUUAUAACUUGCUUAGCCUCUUUCUGCCUAAUCUUAUAGAUCAUUUUGUCUUCCUCACUCUGGGUUUUUUUAUAAUUCCUAAAUGCUAACUUUUUGUUUUUAACUAUUUUGGCCACAUCUGCGGAGUACCACAGUGGUUUCUUGAAUUUUUUGCUUUUACUGACAAGCCUAAUGCAAUUUUCUGUUGCCUUCAAUAGUGCAACUUUUAAAUAAUCCCAUUUUCUUGGACUCCAUUUAAAUUGCUCCAGUCUGAUAAUGACUCCUCUACCCAUAUUCUAAUUUUAGAAAAGUCUGUUUUUCUAAAGUCUAAAACUUUUGUUUUUGUGUGGUGUGACUCAGUCACUGUUCUUAUAUUAAACCACACUGACUGAUGAUCACUGGAUCCUAAACUUUCACCUACAGUAACAUCUGAUACCAAAUCUCCAUUUGUUAACACUAAAUCUAGUAUGGCCUCUUUACGAGUUGGCUCCUCAACAACUUGCUUUAGAGACAACUCCCAGUAGGGAGUUUAGAAUAUGUGUGCUCCUGGCACAAGUAGCUAAUUUUGUUUUCCAAUUUACAUCAGGAAGAUUAAAGUCACCCAUGAUGAUAACUUCCCCCUUCAUUGUCAUUUUAGCUAUUUCCUCAACUAGUAGAUUAUCUAACUCUUCAAUUUGUCCUGGGGGCCUAUAAAUCACACCUACACGAGUUACUGUGUGAUUACCAAAUUCUAACGUAACCCAAACGGACUCUAUGUUUGCCUCACUAACUUUUAUUAGGCUAGAUUUUAUGCUAUCCUUCACAUACAAGGCCACCCCUCCCCCUUUCUUGCCUUCCCUAUCUUUCCUAUAUAAAGAGUACCCUGGUAUUGCUAUGUCCCAGUCAUUUUUCUCAUUGUACCAUGUCUCAGUAACAGCGACUAAAUCUACACUAUCAGUUGCCAUUAUUGCCACAAGUUCAUGGAUCUUAUUCCCUAAACUGCGAGCAUUUGUAGACAUGACUCUAAGCUUAUCAUUUUUUAACACACUUGCUACAGGCACCUUCUGUCCUUGUUUUGGGGGACAAUUGGAUUGAUGUUUUAUCACCCUUUUGCCCCCCCCCUCCUAGUUUAAAUACAUCCUAGCAAAACCUCUGAACUGCUCACUGAGAACAUUUGUUCCCUUAAAUUAAAGUCCCUAAUACGCAUCCGCCUGUCGUUCUGAGUGUUAUGCACAGGCAGAACUUCAGAGAAUGACAGUGUGGAAGCAACCUGCCGUAUAUCAUUGGCAAAAACACUAAAAACUUCCUUAACCUCUGAAACCUCAUUGCAAGCCAAGUCAUUUGUCCCUAGAUGGACAAGUACAUCCAAUUCCCCUUCCUGCUUUGCUUGCUUAACAAUAUUACAGAUAUGUCUCCUGUCUCUGUGAGCAGUAGCUCCGGGAAGACACCUCACAAGACCACCAUUGUCCAUCUCCACACCUCUUAUAAUGGAAUCACCCAACAACAACUGCUUUCUAUUAGGCUUCACCAUACUCUCCAAGCCGGUCUCCACAACACCACUAGUCUCAGUGCCUCUCUCCACAACACCACUAGCCUCAGUGCCUCUCUCCACAACACCACUAGCCUCAGUGCCUCUCUCCACAACACCACUAGCCUCAGUGCCUCUCUCCACAACACCACUAGCUUCAGUGCCUCUCUCCACAACACCACUAGCCUCAGUGCCUCUCUCUACAACACCACUAGCCUCAGUGCCUCUCUCUACAACACCACUAGUCUCAGUGCCUCUCUCCACAACACCACUAAUCUCAGUGCCUCUCUCCACAACACCACUAGCCUCAGUGCCUCUCUCCACAACACCAUUACACUCUGAAAGUGCAGAAAAUGAAUUAUGAAGAGCAACAGACUGUGCAAAAUGCCUUUUAUCCACAACUCUAAGUCUACCAGAUCCUACAGUAAUCCAUCUGCCUUUCCUAGCAUGUCUCUGCGGCAGUGGCUUUGCAGCAGUUCCAGUCUGAGUUUCUUCACCAGAUAAUUUACAAAUCUCAGACUUCAAAAAUACAAUCUCCUGCCGCAAGAUAGAGAACUGUCUACAGAUUAGACAACAACCAAACCUCCAAAAAGUGGAACGUGAAACAAAUGCAUAGCAAUUGUUACACUGAACUAAACCUGCCAUUCCAAUUAUAAGAAUAAUAUAAAUCGAACAAAUCUUAACUUUUGUAUUUAUCCUCCUGAAUACCUCAGAUUACCUCCAGGUUAUUUCCAGAAUAUCUCCAACGACACACUUAGAAACAGCACUUGGAAGUAGCACUAAGCUAUAUUAGACAAGCUAAUGGAACCAGGCCUUAUAUAACUCCUAAAAUCACCGCCCACUAGGAAUGAUUAACACCUGGGUAGGCCUCUGCUUAUUUGCAAACAAUAGCUAAUUAACCAGCAAUCAACAGCAAGUAACUAGCUUAAUCAAAUCAAAUGCCUUAUAAUUACCAAGUCAUGGUUGUCAUCCCCUGCUGGUCGCCCUGCCUGCAGGCUGAGCAGUGUAAACACUGCCACUUCUGAGGGAAAAAAUGUGUUUUUAUUACUUCCCAUGGACAACUCUAGACAAUGUUAGUCUGAGAUGCUUCCUGCUGCUCUGCAUGGAGACAAUAAACACUCUCCAUAGAGAUGCAUUGAGCUAAUGUAUCUCUAUAAAGAGAUAAUAAUUGGCGCAGAACAUCGAUUGCCACACAUGCUCAGUAGCUCUAUAAUGCUUCCUUAUGAGGAAGCAUUGCACUCGCUGAGAUCAUCGUCAUUGAUGAUCUCAGCUGGAAGGAUUGGAAGCCGCAGCAAGACGGGUGCGGCAAGGGUCAUAUGACAAGUUAUUCUACUUUUGGGAAGGGAAGAAUCUAAGUAUGAAGGGGAACAUUUUAACACUCUAUGUUAGAGUGUUUCUUUAAACUUAACCUCAUUUGAAAAAAAUGCCCUCCCCUCUAAAUACACACACUACAACCACAAGCAGCCACUAUUUACAUGCUCACACACAUAAUACACCGCAAACAGCUCCAUCCAAACACAACCCACAACCAAACAAGCAUUAUCUCCCCACACACACGCAACCCUUCAUGCAGCUUUCCCCACAUACACAACUACAUAAGUAGCAUCCGCGCACACACAAAAAUAACCCCACAAGCAGCAUUCCCAGAAACAAGCAACAUCACAAGUAGCCGAACCUCACAAAGGUAACACAAUAAGCAGCCACCCCAAACAAACAUGCACCCUCGCUUUAACGGAUCCAAUCGCAAACCUAAAACUCUUGCAUAUGUGUGUAUGUGUGUAUAUGUAUAUAUUAACUGCAACUAGCAUGCUGUCUGGUGGGAUAUCUGGAAAACUGCCACUAGACAGAAUCCUAUCUGCAGUUAAUGAGGCACUGUCCACAAUCCCAACCUACACCAUCACAGAGACCCCAUAUAACACAGCAUUAGUGGUCCUCCAGCUGCUUGACUACAAGAUCAGGCUCAAAGAGAAGUGAUGCCCACCAUGGAGACUACGACUGGAAGCCAAGAUAAAAACCACACGGAAAGAAGUUAGCAAGCUGGAUUAAAUUCACAGGGGUGGAGAGAUCAAGGAUAGAUCCUGGAUGCUGCGGAAUUACAAGGAUGUGCCCAUACCAGAGGCACUGGAAACAGCUAAGCAAAGACUGACAGCACUGGCAACCAGACUGAGCAGAUACACCAGAGAAGCAGAGACAAGAGAAUCUAUGCACUAUUUACCAAAGAACCAUUCAAGGUGUAUGCGCAGCUACUGGGUAACCACUGCGUCUCCUCCCAAGACCCACCCAGAGCUGACAGUGAACAGUACUGGGAGUAAGAAUCAUCACAUAACACCAAGACCCAGUGGCUACUAGACCUGAAAGCAGACCACUGCAUGCUGCCAGAACAGGAAUGAGUCACAAUCACAGUGAGGCAUUUCCAGCAAAGGGGAGCCCACAUGAAAAGUUGGUCAGUCCCAGGACCUGACAUGAUCCACACCUACUGGAUAAAGAAGUUAAUAGUGGUACAUGAAUGCCUAGCAGCACAAAUAACCAGCUACUAGCAACAGACUCCCACCCUGAUUGGCUAACGUAAAGCAGAACAACACUGAUCAUGAUGGACCCUCACAAGGGAACAGCACCAGCUAACUACUGACCAAUCACCUGGCUCCCCUCAACAUGGAAGGUCCUGUCAAGCAUAUCAUAGCUUUCAAGAUCGAUGCACAUUUGAGUCAGUACAUGAGCAAUACUCAGAAGGGGAUUGGAAACAACACCAGAGGAUCAAAGCAGCAACUACUGGUAGGCCACGCAGUCAUGCAGGAUUCUAAGAAGAGACAGACCAAUAUGUGCACAGUCUGAAUUGACUACAAGAAAGUCUGUGACACAAUGCCACACACAUGGAUACUGGAAGGCUUGGCUCUUUACAAGGUCAACAAGGCAAUAAAAACCUUCUUCAAGAACUCAAUGGUCAAGUGGAAAACAACUCUAGAAGCCAAUUCCAGGACAAUAACAAAAGUAAACCUCAAAUGUGGCAUAUACCAAGGUGAUGUGCUAUUUUCACUGCUGUUCUGCAUAGACCUCAGCCCCCUUAGUCAGAUCAUCAAAAAGAGUGAAUAUGGAUACAGAUACAAGAGUGGAGCUACCAUCAACCACCUACUCUACAUAUAUGAAAUUCAAGCUAUAUACCAAGAAUGAGCAGGACAUUGCCUCAUUGAUCCACCUAACUAAGAUAUAUUGCAAGUACAUCGGAAUGCCAUUCAAACUAGAUAAGUGUGGGCGGAUGAUAGCAAAAAGAGGGACGAUGAUCAGGACAGAAAGUGUUCAAGUACCAGAAGGCCAAAUAGAAGAUAUAGAGAACAGCUACAAGUACCUGGGGACACCACAAAUACAUGAGGAAUAGGCAAGGAGGAUAGCAACAUCUAAGUACCUCCAGAGAGUCAGACAGGUCAUAAAUUCCCUGCUCAAUGGCAAGAAUAAGAUCCAAGCCAUCAAUACAUAAGCCCUACCAGUCAUCAGGUAUACAGCUGGAAAAGAACCUGGCCAAGAGAAGAACUGGUUACUAUAAAUGUCAAGACCCUGAAACUACUCACUAUGAAUGGAGGAGUCCACCCGAAAUCCAGCAUCCAAAGACUGUACAUCAGUCGAAAGGAAGGAGGCCGGGUCCUGAUGAGUGUCAAGGUCACAGUCACUACGUAAAAAUACACACUGCAUCCAUUACACAGACACUGCACCCACUACACAAACACAGACACUACAUUUACUAUAUACACUGCAUUCACUACACAAACACAUGCACUGCAUUCAAUAUGCAUACACACUUUUCAUCAACAUAUACUGCAUUCACUUUCCUCACACACUUCUUGCAUUCACUAUACAAACACUGCAUCUGCUACAUACACACACUAGGAAUGUGCAUGGGCAAUUCUGCACUUCGGUUCGGCACUUCCAAAACUCAGCACUUCCGAAAUGCGGCACCUCUGAAAUUUAGAACUUCGCCAAUUCGGGACUUUAGCACUUCAGUUCGGUUUGGCACUUCUAAAAUUCAGGACUUCGGCAAUUCGGACAUUUGUAAGCAUCCAUCUCUUGCCACCACAACCACUUACACAGCUGUAUGGCUCCCUAACUCCUACCCCUAACCUUUGGUCUAGCCCUAACCAUUAGAGUUAGGGGUAGGGUUAGGUGCCUGGACUGCCACCACGACCACUUACACAUCUAUAAGGCUCCCAGUGCCAGGAAUUAGCUUAUUGGUCUAGAUUCCUGUCAUCAUUCAUGCAAUUUUCCCUCCCUCUCUUGUUUUGCCACUUUUCAGAAAUCCAAAGCACUUCAGCACUUCCGAAAUUCGGCCCUAUUGUUAAAAACUAAAAAUUGGAGUGUUUCCACUGAUAAAUUAUAAUUGCAAGAUUUUAACCCUGCUUUGUCCCUUGUCCAGGAAUAUGGUACUCAUCAUAAGGUAGUUUUGGUUAUAUAGAAAUCUCCUGAUAAAGGCUGCUUAGGACUGGGGGUGUUGCAAUGCCAACUGCAAAUAAUAGGAUUUAUAACAUUAACAUAAAAAUAAAGAAUAGAAUACAUCAGCAAUUAGGAGCACUCGUUUAGCCUUCAGUUAGUGCAGGUAAGGAUUUGCCGCAUGGAAGUCCAAGAGAUCAGUCCUGGGUGUGCCCUUGUGGGCGGUAGUUGGUCUCCCCUCCCUGCCAUCACGGCUAGGUUACCCCUGGGUUGGAGAGUCCUAUGGAGGGUCUUUCCGCUCUAUUGAUUGUGCAUCUCCGGCUAGCUUCUUUUUCCCUUGUGGGGUUCGCGGUCAACUGGGGUGCCGCUGCUUGCCGUGUCGCUGGAGGUGGUGCCGGCAGAUCAAGGCCUCUCAGGAACUCCGUGUGGUCCUCGGAGGCCAAAAGUACAUGUACUGUGUCCCCAUGUGGUACCACCAGUGUUCCCGAAAGUCCCCUUCGGUAUCUAAUGCCUUUGUCUCGAAGGAUCCGGGUGGUGGGUGCGAACCUACGCCGUUCGAGUAAGACUGCAAAAGGUAAGUCGUCCUAUACUGUGAUUUUCGUGUUGGCUAUGAGCAGACUUGGUCUUUGUCUGGACCGUGCCAUUAUAGAGGACUUCACGUUGGUGUCUCUGGUGGUGGCUAUGAUGUCCCGGGGUGCGUCCGCAGGUGCUGUGGGGGCCUUCCGGACCCUGAAGGCUGUCACUAUUGGCGGUCGCUCAGCAUCCGUCUGAACUCCGAGUUCUCUCAGGACCUCGUGGGUAAAGCUGAUCAGGGCUUCUUGGCCUAUUGACUCUGGGGCCCCACGGAUCCUGAUGUUUUUUCGUCGGUGCCGUGCCUCUAGGGAGGUAACUGUGCGGGAGAGGCGCUGUACUUGCUGGGUGAGUGUAUUUAGAUGGGAGCUGGUAUCGUCCAGCCUCUUUCCCCUCUCCACUUCCCUGCACGCCACUUCUCUCACACGGCGGUUCAGGCCUCCGACCUCCUCCUGUACUCCAGUGAGGUCGGCUUUCCAUACCUCCCUCAGGUCCCGCAGGAGGUUUUUAAUAUCUCCCUUGGUGGAGGGGGAUUUGUCUGAGUCUGAUUCAGACCUCUGGUAUAUCCCGCUGCUGGAAUUGGGUGCUUGGGAUGUCUCUUCCUCCAGUGAUCGCUCUGAGUCGCUGGAGCUGCGUGUUUCCACGGGCGCCAUAUUUAGUCGGGCCUGCGGCGGUGGUCUGGUGAAGGACAGUCGGAUAUCUGUGUUUGCGCCCCAGCUCUCUCUUGGGGGGUCCCUCAGGUGUUGGCAACGUUAAAGUUUGCUCUCUUUUGUGGCAAAAUAGGCAGUUUUGCACUUCUGGAGCGGGAGCUCAGUAAAACCUCGACCGCUCUGUAGCUUGGCUAGCCAUGCCCCCAGCAGAACAUUUUUAGAGGAUGGAGUGCUGUGUGGGAUAUCACCCAGAGUUCUGUGAAAUUGGCAUUCUCUCAUGUGGGAAAUGUAUGUUUGUUUUCAUUAUUAUUAUUAUUAUUAUUUGAGUGAAUGUUGGUAUCAGCAGUAACAGUUAAAUAAAGGUUUAUGGGAUAUGGCAUGCCAAGAUUUGCACCAAUUCCAAAUAAUAAAUAAAUAUGAUUGCUUCAGCCUGUUUCCUAGUGGGCAGAAUCCCAUGUUGGAAGCUGAAUAUUAUAAAAUAUAUAUAUAUAUAUAUAUAUAUAUAUUUUAUAGUAAGUAUUAUCUGUCUAUGAAAUGUCCCUUUAAAGAAAGCUGGUCUCUUUUUCAACCAAAUUCCAGAAGCCCAUCUGUUUGGAGUAAGAUAAGCAUACAGCUACAGGUAACAGUUUGAGUGGCCUUCUGUAAACUGUACUUUCUUUAUAAGCAUUAUAAAGAGAAAAGACUGUGUGCCAGAAUGGAUUAAAGAAUGAGUGAUGUGACCAGCAAGUGUAUGGCAGAAAGUCAUAUACUUAAUAGGAGAGGACAGGAAGUGUUUGCUGAAUUGAGAUGGAACGAUAAAUCCAGACAGUGUCAGUGUUUGUGCUUUGGGCUUUUAAGCGGAGAGUUGAAUGCAAAUGAAUGCACUUCAUUCACUGGUAGAAUCUAAAUGAGCUUGAUGCAUUCACUUUGUAUCUACGAUCAUGGAUAGGAAAGGUCAGAACUUGAGACCCCGUAGUAGAAAAGUUCAGCAAUGUCAACCAUAUACUUUAUUUGGAAGAUUAGAGUAACCUACUGUAUGAUCCAUCUGUAUUGGAAUAAGAGGAAAAUUAAAUUGCGUUAUCUGGUAGGACUCCCGAAGAACAUGAGUGAAGGGGAAGAACAAUAAAUGUAGAAUAUAUAAGAUAUUAAUAAGUGUCACAAUGCAAUUAAAGAAUGCAUAGAAUAUAGUCUAAAUAACAUACUAUACAAGAGAGAAAAACCCUGUGACAUCAUAUUUACUACACUCAGCAUUGGGGGGCGCAAGAAGAUAAGGAAUUUAUCAAUAUCAUUCAACAACUAAGAAGAGAAGAAGACAUUGCCUGUAACUACUGCCCUUUACUUGGGAUGACACAGGGAGACACAAGAAGACAAUAUGGUGAACUGUGCAUUAUGGAAAUGUAAUGCCAUUGAGGAGGGAAAUAUCAUGAAAAAUUAGGCCAAAGGUUCAUGAGCUUUACUCCUACUGAUUUCGAAUAAACCUGGACAUGUAUGUCCCAGCGCUGCCUUCAGUUAAGAAACCCUGCUGCAUGGAGGCGUCAAACCAUGUAUUACAGAAAAUAAUGCAAUGAUUUAUUUUGCACACUUUGUUGUGCGAAUUUAAAAUAGAAUCUGCCCAUUAAACAUUUGGUUUCAGCAAGGGAAGACACAAGAAGACCAUAAGCACUCUUACUGCACUCAACAUGGAAAGGCAUUGAAAGACAAUGAGGGCCCUAAAGAGUGAGGAUGUAUCUUCCUAGCACCACAUGCAGAAGCUCUACAAGAUCAUGAAUAUGUUAUACUCACUGGCGUACUUAGAGCAUUUGGCACCUGGGGGCGGAUCCUGUGUUUGACAUUCCCCUCCCCCACUUUAAAAAGGAAAAAAACACCCGCAAUAUUUUUAAUGUUUAAUGUUUUCCUUUUUAAAAUUUGCACAAAUGUGUAAAUUUUGAUAAAACCCAGUCGUGCCCCCUUCUACAAAACCUCUCUCCUGCCCGCCGAUCUACAAAACUCAUAUCCUGCCCCCGUUCUACAAAACUACUGCACCCCACUUCCACAAAUCCCCUGCUCAGCCCCUUUAAACAAAAUCCCUGUCCCCCUUCUACAAACCCCUACACACCCCUUCCAUAAACCUCUUCCUCUAAAGCCCCUGCUCAGCCCUUUACAAUAGGAUUAAUUUUUUUACACAACAAUAUUAGCAACAGUCUUCAGAGUCCUGUCCCAGGCACAUAGUCACUUGCACACAGUCACACACACAGCUACAGGCAGACAGUCGCAGACAGUCACACACAGCUAUAGGCAGUCACACAUACACACAGUCACAGGAAGACAGACACACACACACAGUUACAGGCAGGCAGUAAUACACAACACACACACACACACAAACACACAUACAGGGAGACAGUCUCACACACACACACAGGCAGACAGUAUCACACACACACACACACACAGUUACAGGGAGACAGUCUCACACAUACACACACACAGUUACAGGCAGCAGUCACACACACACACACACACAGUCACAGGCAGACAGUCACGCACACACUGUUACAGGCAGUCACACACACACACACACACAGGUACAGGCAGACAGUCACACACACACAGUCACAGGAAGACAGUCUCUCUCACACACACACACACACACAGUUACAGGCAGUCACACAUACGCACAGUCACAUGAAGACAGACACACACACACGCACACGCACACACAGUUACAGGGAGGCACUAAUACACCACACACACACAUACAGUCAAAGGCAGACAGUCACACACACACACAGUUACAGGGAGAUAGUCAUCACACACACACUCACUCACUCUCUCUCUUAAUUACAGUCAGGUUGGGCUGGAGGAGGAGUGGAUUCAGUCCUUGAUGUGUAGCUGUUGGGACUCCAUCCUGCUUCCCCUCGAUGUGCAGAAGUAACAGCAGCAGGUGGAGGCCGUGUUUGGCUAUGCCCCCGCUACUCCCCGUUUGUUUUAGAUGUAGCGGUUUUAAAGUUCUGCAGCUGCCAUGGCAACCUGUCCCUGCCGCACAGCUCACACAUCCCAAGACCGACCCCCCGCAUCCCCUUAGUACGCCACUGCAGGCAGUCACACAAACACAGUCACAGGCAGACAGUCACACACACACAUACACACACAGUUACAGGCAGUCACACAUACACAUAGUCACAGGAAGACAGUCACACACACAUAGUCACAGGCAGACAGUCACACAGACACAGUUGCAGGCAGACAGUCUCUCACACACACACAGCUUAGGCUGGAGGAGGAAUGGAUUCAGUCCAUGCUGUGUAGUUUUUGGGGAAGCAGGGACUCCAUCCUGCUUCCCCUUGAUGUGCAGCAGUAACAGCAGCAGGAUGUUUAGCUCCACCCCUGCUGCUGGUUUGGCUCCACUCCUGCUGCUGAUUAACUCCACCUCAUUUAUUUUAGAAGUGGCGGUUUUAAAGUUCUGCAGCUGGCUGUCCCUGCGUGUGUGAGCUGUGCGGCUGCCAUGGUAACCUGUCCCUGAUGCACAGCUCACACAUCCUAAGGCCGCCCUGGUCAUGGAUCACCCCCCUCUCCCCGCCUCCCCCUUAGAAUGCCACUGGUUAUCCUCUAUAUGGUUGGUAAAAGGAAGUUUCUUAAAGAGACACUAUAGUCACCAGAACAAAGCUUUUCAUGUAAACAUUGCCUUUUCAGAGAAAAUGCAGUGUUUACUUUGCUGCCUAGUAACACCUAUAGUGGCAAUCACUCAGACGGUCAUUAGAGGUGCUUCCUGUGUCAGUGCUGCACAUUGUUCAUGGAGCCACUGAACUUUCCCCUUUGAGAUGCAUUGGUUCAAUGUAUAUCUGUAAGGAGAUGCUGAUUGGCCAGGGUGGCGUUUGGCUUUUCCCCCUGUCUGUUUAGCUAAGAUUAUCAGAAUUGAUGAUCUCAGCCAAUCCAAUGCUUUCCUAUGGUUGAGAUAGUCAAAUCUGAUGAUGUCAGCCAAGGAGGCGGAUCAGUGCAAGGGCCAGCACUGGCAAACCUGCUCGACACUGGAAUAAAGGGGAGUUUUCUCCUUAUUCAAGGUAAAGCUAAAAUGUGUUUUUAACACUAUAGAGUGAGGAAAACAUGUUUGCAUUACUGACCCUAUAGUGUUCCUUUAUUGCAGUUACUACACUUCACACGGGGGACACAAGAAGAAUAUGUGUCUGCACAAAAACUGUAAAUUUAUCUAAUGAACUCAGUAUAGCAGGCUAAGAAUAUAUAUUAUACAUUUAUUUUCUAGAUUGUAACUGCAUCUUGAAACAUCAUGGAAGAGCACAAGAGCACAAUGUGAGCAUCUACUAGUACAGUGUUUCCCUAUUGGUGUUCUGUGGAACCCUAGGGUUCAAACAAAAUUGGGGUUCUGCUGCAAUUUGCCAAUCGAGUGGCCCAAGCACUUAGAGCCACCCGAUCAAUAUUGCUAAACAGGGACCCGGUCAGGCGCCGCGGACAUUUAAGAUCGCCCUGCAGAAAACGGAUGCUUGGUGGAAGUCAAAGCUGCACACCAGCCUCAACCAGCAGCACUCUAAGCAAAUCACCCUUCUGCAGAAUAAAGGUAACCUAACAGGAGGGUGACUGCAAAUAUAAACAUCAUGACGUGUGUGUGUGUGUGUGUGUGUAUGUGUGUCAAGAGGUGCAUGUGUCACUGUGUGUACCUGAGUGUGUGUACCUGUUUAUCACUGUGUGUAUCUGUGUGUUAGUGUGUGUAUCUGACUGUGUGCGUACCUGUGUAUGUGUAGGUGUCAGUGGGUGUAUCUGUGUGUUAGUGUGUGUAUCUGUGUGACAAUGUGUGUGUAUGUGUCAGUGUGUUUCUAAGUGUGUUUCUGUUUGUUAAUGUGUACGUAUAACUGUGUAUAUGCAGACAUCCUAGCAAUCAAACAUCAACACAACAUGCAAACACAAACAUGACAUACAAAGACACUCCGGAGAGACUUAUAUAUUAUAUAAAUUAUAUACAAACACUACAACACAUUCUUCACUUAAGCACCAAUACUACACACAAAUGUACAUUCGCAUUUAAAAACACUACAUCCAAACACACCACUGCACAUAAAUACAAGCAUAACAAACAAACACACCCCUGUAUCCAAAUGCUAAAAUUAUAUACAAACACCAACUCUACCCACAGAAGCACACCUGCUCCUAAGUACUACAAUCAGUUUGCUAUCUGCAAAAAAAACAAAACAUUACGCUCUGUUAAUUAAAAGGUUUGUGCUAAUGCACUACCUUUUUAUUUAUUUAUUUUUUUUUUGGGGGGGGGGGGGGGUUCCACAGUGUUGGUACACUAUGUAAAAAGGGUUCCACAGGAAAAAUUAAUUGGGAACCCCUGUACUAAUCCCACCUCCAUAUUCCAUAGUCAUCAUUAACUGAUUUUGCUACAAGAAUAUGUGAUAUCCAGGAAUACAUAAAGUUCUUGAUCAAAACAGGAUAGAGUAAUAUUUAUAUACCACCUACAAAUGAUAUAGCUAGCUUUAUUUUAAUAUAAAUAAGACACAUCUAAGAAUAAGUGGAAUCAACAAAAACGUAACUGACAAAUGAGAGGAUCUCAAAUAAAACAGUGAGCGAUUCGUUCAGCCACAGGUGAUUUAAAGCAGCCUUCAAAAUGUAAUGACCUGCAAAACAGGACUUACUGUGAACAUGAUUCAAUGCUACCCUUUGGGGAUACGUGUCUGUGGAUGGAGAUAGACACUGUGGUUUAGCUCUCUCUUGUUGUACAGAAAUUAAUUGAAAAUAGAAAUAAUAUGUAACAAAAAGUGUUAGAGUGAUGAUGAAAGUGUUAUCAUGAUAUAAAGUCCCAGCAAGCUCUUUAAAAAUACCCAGCACAUUUCAUGGAAAGAUGUCUUACAACUCAACAAGUCUUAAAACCCACUGCAUACCAUCAGGACCUACUGCCAUUUACUCUAUAUACAGUAGAAAACCUAGGAAGAUCUUGGGAAUGAAUAGCAAAAACUACAAAGGAGAUGAAUAUAAAAUGAAAGAAUUAAUGAAAUAUUAGAUCCUUACAAGGUAAGGGGUCGUGGUGUUAGAUAUAUCUGUUAGAGUCAUGGCAGCAUACUGAGUGAGGUUUCAGAUCUGAGUUUGUUUUAGGUGAGGGUCAGGAAGGCUCAGGAUCUAAAGGUGUCCUCUAAGUCAGUGUUUCCCAACCCAGUCCUCAAGGCACACCUACCAGUCCAGGAUUUAGGGAUUACCCAGUUGUGUCUAAGGUGUUUUUUUUCUUCUUUGUAAAAACACCUUAGACACACCCUGUAAUCCCUAAAUCCUGGACUGGUAGGUGUGCCUUGAGGACUGGGUUGGGAAACACUGCUCUAAGUAAAUGAAUUGGGAAAAGCUUUGAAUACGAUUCCACAGGUAAAUUCUGGAUGGAUCAAUUCAUUCUGUUGUAGAUUAAAAGGAAAUAGAAAAUAAACACCUUCCCUCUCUAGUGGUUACACAGAAAACAACAAUAAUAACAAAAAGUUAAAGAAUCCCCAAAGGCACGUUGUGGUCUAGGUACAGUGGCCCUGUAGUUUUAAUCUUGCAAAGUAAAGCAUUGCCAUUUUGUAGAAACUGCAUUGCUACCAUUCACGGGUUAACACACCUCUAGUGGCUGUCUUCGUCUUUGAGAACAGAGUCAAAUCCAAUGCUUCGCCAUACAGAAGCCUGACCAUGGUUCUGUAUGGGGAAGCACUGGAUUGGCUAAGAUAAUCAAGAAUGAGGAUCUCAGCCUAGGAGCAGGGGUGGUCGCAGAGAGCAGGGUGACGAGGGAAGGUAAGGUAAGGAAAACUACCUUUCUCAAGCACUCCAAGGGUGGGCCCAUCACCUAAACAUGUACAGGACACUAUAGUGGUUGGAAUACAUGCUUGUAUUCCUAAUGUUGGAGUGUUCCUUUAAUAUUACAUGAAUGGGACAGCUAAAUGACAAAACAUAUUAGAAAUAGAAGUAGUGACAUAAUCAAUUCCCAUACAAUUAGGGGGAACAGAGUGGAGACAAAUCCAUGUCAAUAAUUUGCCAGUGUUAGAUAUGGAAAAAUUGCAAUAUCUAGGUAAUGGCUUGUUUGUACAAUUCUGUUAGAAAAUGACCUAUUCACCAUUUUUGCAGAUUUAAAUCUCAAAAACUAAGCUAACAUUUAUCCUAAAAAAAAUAAAAUAAAAUCCCUGCCUCUCACACGAAGUAAAAACGAUUUAUAACCAAAGCUGCAUUAUUAUCUUAAACAUUCUUUAUAAACCACUGCCAAGUGAUAGCACAAGGCAGUUUACGUCCCAUAGGCAACAAUUUAUUGAUUAUGCGUUCUUUGUUUAAAACGUAAUCUACAACUCCCCAAAUCAGUAAGGACCUCAUCAAAGCAUUGGAGAGGGAUAUAGACAUUUGAGGUCAAUUGUAAGAUCUAUUGUCCUGCUUGUAUGGACAACUGAUAAUUCAAAUGGAAAAAAGAUGGAUAUAAGGUCUUAUUAAUGAAGAUUUUAAUUAGCCAGAUAUAGACUUGAAACAUUUCCACCAUCAUGGAUUUUUUUCGUUUAAAGACAACGCCGUGUUUUUAGAAGUGCUACAAAAAAUGAUGUGUUACUGGACUUGGUGUCCAUAAAUCGUGAUGAUGUUUAAUGCACUAUUAAUGAAAAAAAGGGGUCAUUAUACAAUAUACAUCUUGAAAAAUUAUGUUAUAUGGGAAAUAUUGCAAACCAGAACUACAAUGUGCUGCAUAUAGAAAUGUAUUUAAAAAAGAAAUGUUAUAUGGGAUAAACUGGCAUACAAUCUAUUUCAACACUCAACAUAUAAUCACACUCAACAUUUAAUGGGAAUUUAAAUCAAACCCAAGAUGAUCAUGGGUAUAUUAUGCAAUUAUAUACAAAAUCAAUUUUUCAAAUAAUUUUCAUAUUGAAGCAUUUUUGAAUAAAUAAAAGGAAUACUAUAGUAUCAGCAAUGCAAGCAUAUUCCUGACACUAUAGUUGUAAAAGUGAAGUUUAGGUCCUUGGCCGCCCUGUUAGAGAAGUAAAGGUGAGUAUAAAGGUGCCGGUCUACACCUCAUUGGCUGAGAUCAUCAAAUUUGAUGAUCUCAGUCGAUUCAAUGCUUUCCCAUAGGAAAGCAUUGAGAGACUAUUACACAUGCGCAACAAAACACCAAUCAGCAUCUCCUUAUACAGAUGCAUUGAAUCAAUAAAUCUAGAUAAGGAAAGUUCAGAGUCUCCAUGCAAAGGGUGGAGAGGCUAAAUGUCAGUGUUGCACAUUGUGCAACACUGACCCAGGAAGCACCUUUAGAAAGAAACAUACCUUUUCCAAGUCUGAUGCCGAUGUAGGGAGCUGUGAAGCAACUUAGGGGUAACCCGUUCAAAAACGGUUUACCCCUUGAGGUAAGAGUGCCUCUAGGGACCUUCUAGAACCAUAAUAACUUCAUUUAGAUUAAGUCGUUUUGGUGUAUGGAGUAUCCCUGUAAGGAAAGUUAUUUGGAAAGGUAAAGUUCUGUGAAAUGCAAAAUUAUUACAUUGUAUCAACAGUGUAACCGCUAACCUGCUUACAUACACAGUAACUUCAAAUUUUUUUAGUCUGUAACAAAACAUUGAUCAAUAUGAAGCUAUGUGAUUCUACCAGUUUUUUAAAAUAUUACUUAUAAGGAAGCUACAUUUUAAGAUUGGGAGGCAGGGUAAGGGCCUUGGCUACUUGCCUCUCGCUCACUUCGUACUUCAACAACUUUUUAACCAAUUUUUCCUUAUACUUCAGCACCAAGAGCUGAAGUCACUACUGUACUCUUGCGCAUGUGCGAAAGUACAGCAAUAAGGUCUAUGGUGGUUCCCGCGGUCUCCAGAACCAAUUCCCUACAGCUGUCACAGGUAAUGGCGGGUUAGAUUGACACUUCAUGACGGCAGUAACUCUGCCCAGUGUCUAGAAUAAAAAAGAAAAGAGUUACUCACGCACUAUCCCAAAUCCCUAUGCAUAUUUAAAUAACUGAAGGUUCUUAGUAGUACUCCAAUGGCCGUCAGAUUGUAAAUUCACCUGUCAUGUCAAGGCAAAAAACCUCUUAGGUAAGUACUGCGCUAACAAUUCACCUUGCUUUCUUCAGCUUCAGGUAAAACAAUAACACUGUGUUUUAAGGGUUAAUAAGUAUGUAGGGUUUUCUACCUGAAUCUGAAGGAAGCUUGGUCAUUCUUUCCACCCAGGAAUAGUGAUGUCCCGAACGGUUCGCCGAACGGUUCGCGAACGGUUCGCCACGAACGGUUCGCUGCGGACUCAUCAUUGAGUAAACUUUGACCCUGUACCUCACAGUCAGCAGACACAUUCCAGCCAAUCAGCAGCAGACCCUCCCUCCCAGUCCCUCCCACCUCCUGGACAGCUCACUAAGAAUGCAGCUUCAAAAUGGAUGCUGUCCAGGAGGUGGGAGGGUUUGGGAGGGAGGGUCAGCUGCUGAUUGGCUGGAAUGUGUCUGCUGACUGUGAGGUACAGGGUCAAAGUUUACUCAAUGAUGAGUCCGUGGCGAACCGUUCAUGGCGAACCGUUUGCGAACCGUUUGGCGAACCGUUCGGGACAUCACUACCCAGGAACAGUGUCUAGAAGUGUCCGAUGUAGAAAAAAUGCAAAUAAACAAAAAAGAACAAGCAGUUACUACUAAAUUGUGCAUAGAUGGCAAACUGGUGCUUUGGGCCCCCCAGGAGUAACUGGGCCCGGGGCAGCGGCCUCGUUUUCCCCGUGUUAAAGACGGCCCUGACUGUAAUCAUCAAAACAACUUUAGCUUCAUGAAGCAGUUUUGGUGUAGAGAUCAUGCCCCGGUAGUCUCUCUGCUCAAAUCUUUGCUAUUUAGGAGUUAAAUUACUUUUAACUUUUUAAUAAGAGUGCUAAUUCCCAAGGAAUUAUUUAACACUAGAUUAUUGAAUUCAGGGGGUUAUGGAAAUUAUCCAAAGUUGGCCUUGAUUUAAAUAUUUUUAUAUAUUUUUUUUUUUCAAAUCACAAUCACAGAUCACAAUCUGUUACAAAACUUUUCAAAAGAUUUAUCUACAAAGAUUCUUGCGCACUUUAAUGGCGACCUCUGUAGCUAAAUCAUUUGGAAAGUUCUUUAGUUUUGAUUAUUUAAUAAAGCUUAUUCAAAAAUAUUAAAAAGAGACCAUUGUCAGCAACACAGAUUUAAAUUGUGUCCAUGGGGCAUCCAUUCAUUUAAUACACCAUUACUACAAGAUAAAAAAGGGGAGCCAUUAUUAAAAAAAAAAAAGAACACGAGUCAAUUGCGCAUAUUAUAACCUUUUAAAUCUCCUUAGCAAAACCUGAAGGAUUAUUAAGGGCUAAUUCUUCUACAGAUAAAUGGGCUGAAUGAAGCAUAGGUGGCACACAAAGAGCUUUUAAAUUUUUUUUAUUAAGGUAAUUCUCUAGUUUAAAACCACUACUGAAAGUAUACUGAGUUCCAAAAAAUGUCUGCCCUUAGUGUCGGAGAGUAAAAUAACCUUUUGCUACUUUUACUAUUUCAAAUAAUCUACAGAUCGCAGAAGUCAGCUUGCCAGUAAAAUGGGCAGUACCGCCUGGUCCAUUAUAUUCUUAUCCUUUUUGAAAAUCCAGCCUCCCAGGUGUCAGAAAUAUAAGCACAGAUCAGCAAGGAACAUCUGGCCAACCCCCUGUUGGGAUGAAGUCAUCUUAAGAAUCAGCUCCCCAUGAUGUCCUCUUUUAUUAGAUGUUGCCAUGGUAACACUACACACUGCAAAGGACCUAUAUUCACAGAUAAAGUAAAUCUGUGUGACAGAUCCUGUUUUAUAUUCACAAUAUGCAAUGAAGGCAGUGGUCCUUACAUUAAAACAAGUAUAUGUUGAGCGGGUGCGAUUGCUAUGAAAUGUAUGGGUGGAAACAUACUUAAUGGAAAAUAUACUGGUAAAUAUAAAGACACACACACACACACUACAUUGGUGAACAUAAAUAAUGAGCAAAUUAAGAUUAAAUUGCAAUUAACUAUGUUAUCUGUGUCCACUGGAGGGCAGCAUAGAGCUUCAGAACAAUAUUUCAAAACGGCAUAGGGUUUUUUUUGUUUUUUGUUUUGAAGAGACAGCUGGCUUUGUACAAACAGAGUAACUGUUUUUUAUUAGGUAAGAAAAAAUAAGGAUUGGAGCCAGUACCAAAAGUUUAAAAAAAAAAAAACCACACUUUCAAAAACACUAAAAAAUGAUUAAUUAUCCAUAAACAAAACAAAUAAAAAAAUUACAGAAAUUAUCUCCUCCAAACAUUCCGGGAUUAAGUCCUUGGUAAUUUAGCAAAAGGGCCGAAGACAGAUUUUUUUCUUGCUACUUUGAUGGACUUGAAUGGAUGGGUGAGUGAGAGAGGUCCAGAGCUCCUGUUCCAACCCCUAGAUUAACAGAUAAAGCUGAGGUUUCCGCAGGUACAGGGGUCAGUAUUCUUGUACAGGUCAUCUGAUAAAGUAACACAUAGCGCCUGGAUCAGUGCCGAACACUAGGGAGGAAGUUAAUUUGUAAAAAAACUACAUUUACUUUCACCGUAGCUUAUAGUUUCACAUAUUUUACAUUUUGCUAAGCCUUGAAGCAUUGAAUAAAUGAGAUUUGUGUUUGCAUAACGAAUGUCACUGGCAGGGUUAUAUCUACGCCUACGUUCAGUGUGUUAAUGCUGGCCUCAGGAAUAUGUAUUUAAAGCAUAGCGUAUUUUCAGACACAGGAAUUUCACCUGUUAAUUAACUAUUCUAGCCACAAGGUUUUAACAAAAACGUAAGUCUAAAACGUUAAGCCAUACAUUAAUAAUAGAUUAGGCAGAAGCCAUUCUUAUUCUACAUUCUAUGUGUUUUUAAUUCCUGUCUUUUUCCGAGUAUAUUAGUCCCUUCUCUUUUUUAUCUCUGUUCCUCAUUUUUCACAAUCCUGUUCGCUCCCUUGUGCGACUUGCCUCGUUUCUCAUUUUAAAUCUUUUUUCCACUUGGCUUGUUAUUCUACGCACCUAUUAUCUCACUUUCGACACUCAUUUUAUCUCCUUACUACCCUCUUCCCAUUCUGUAAAGUCCUAUUCUUUUCCUCUGCACUGUAACUGUUUUGCCUCUGCGCUCUUAUUACCUUCCAUACUAUUGUUUUUUUUUCUUUUCAUCCCAUUAUAUCACUACCUGUGUUGUUUUCCGUUUCUAAAUGCAUAUUUUCUCAUUUCUGCCCUCUACACGUUUUCUUUACUACAUUCUUCAUUGCAAAGCCUCAACAGAUCUCUUGAAUCUCUUUUGUUUAGAAAAACGGCGCCUCAGAGGGGAUGUGAUAACAUUAUACAAAUAUAUUUGUGGCCGAUACAAUCUGUUGUGUGGAAAUCUAUUCAUAAACAGGACUAUACAUAGGACACAAGGUCACAUAUUUAGACUGGAAGAAAGGAGAUUUAUUCUAAGUCAAGGAUUUUUUACAGUAAGAACAAAAAGGAUGUGGAAUUCUCUGCCUUAAGAGGUGAUUUUAUCAGAGUCUGUGUAGAUGUUUAAACAGCAACUGGAUGAAUACGUGCAAAAACAUAAUAUUUAGGGAUAUAAUUUUUAAUUUGUGAGGUAAUUGCUCCAAGGAGAGUUCUGACCGCCAUUUUGAAGCUGAUAAUGGAUAUUUCCUAGUCUGUAGCAAAAUGUGAAGCUCUAUCAACAGCAAAAACAGAUGUAAGAAAGGCUGAUUUUGAUGGACGCAUGUCUCUUUUCAGCUAUGUAACUAGGAAACUAUUUAACAACCUGUUGGUUCGUAGAUGCUCCAUUAUUAUGACUUUAAUGACAACUAGAUCCUUCUAUUCUAAAGCUUAAUAUUUUAAGUCAUAAAACCAGUAAUAUACCCAGUGACUAUAACAUCAGGAAGAAGGAACAUGAGAAGGUAGACAAAUACCAAACAAGUGCUAGAAAGGAUGUGGAAAGUGAAGGCAGUAGUAGUCCCAGUUGUGAUAGGAGCACUUGGGCUGUGACUCCCAAGUUGGGGGAAUGGCUUCAACAAAUUCCAGGUGGGACAUUUGAGAUCGCUGUCCAGAAGAGUGCAGUUCUAGGAACAGAUAAGAUACUGCGCAGAACUAGCAGACUCCUAGGCCCCUGGUAUAGGACCCAAGAAUGAAGUAGAAAAAUAUAACACACAGAAUUUUUUCUUCUUUUUAUAUUACUGUUUUUUAUAUGUAUCCUACAUUUUUAAAUUGCAUUUAUAUUUGUAUUUCAAUUGCAUUCUUUCUAAAAAUGCACUGCAUGCAAUGUUAAUGAAUCAGACUAAACAUGUCAAGUCCUUCACUACUAGGCAAGCCUAACCAUUGUCCAUGACAUACUCUCCAGUCUCUCCAAUUUCUAGUCUCCAGGGAUGAAUUUUCACUCACUCAUUGUCACAGUUCUAACCAUGACAUCCAGACGAGGUCGCCCAAAAAGUGCCUAAUAGGGGAUUUGAACCUGGAUGCUAUAUGGCUCUAAGCCUGUGUUCCUGCCUCUGAUCCACUUCACUUCUGGUGUGGCCUGAAACUUAGCCCUGCCAUGUCUCCAGCACUGGGGGCUGGACUUAACCUGUGACUGCUCCUGUCAAUUAUAUUAUGGUCCACCUGUGUAGUAUGCCUAAUCAGCCAGGUAUAAAACACUGCCUCUCUGAGGGCAGUGUCAGUUCAUUGACCCUGGUUACUGUGUUUGUAUUUGGGAUCCAGUGUUCUCCAGUUGGCUCCUGACCUUAGCUUUCUCAUCGUGUAUCCUGACUUAUGGCAUCCUCUGACUUUGGAUUACCCUCGUUUAUCUUGACUUCUGGCACCCUCUAACUUUUGGCUUACCCUCGACGAUUCUCCUGCUUGUGUCCUUACCGGUACUGCGACUUGGAGCAAUAGCGCAGACUCAAAUGCCAGGGGAAUUCUUACAUGACCACCAUACUUGUAUUAUAUAAAUGUGAUAGACAUCAAUAAUUACAGAUAAUGAGACAAAAAUGUCAUUUUCUGAGAAUGUAGACAGUACAGAGACAGAAUCGUGUCUGCGCUCAGUUGUGUUUUUAUUGUAUAAAUAAUUAAGAAAAUAUUACUUUACCCUUUAUAUAACAGAAAAUAAAAAGAGCUAAGUAAGAUUACAGCACAUACCAUGUGAGUGGAGUCUAAAUUCCAGUCAUUAUAUCAUUUUUUUGGAAAGCUUAUAUAGCUGGCCUGAUACUGAUUGUAGUUGUUGAAAAUAAGCAAUUUGGCUCUUGCCUCGGCAAUAUAGAAAACAGAUGUGGGGUGAAAGUAUUAAAGGGACAGCCUUAGCCCCAAAAGCACUGCAUAGAGAAGAGACUGCCCCUGGAGUCUUGCAGAUUAAACCAGCUGCGUUUCUACGAAAACACGUUUCAACGCCUUUUAGUUCCUUUCUGCUAUCUAUGAGAUUUGGAUUGAAAUAGAUUCAAUUAUUACAUCUCUUCUACUGCAGUGUCAAGAUUCAAAGUAUGUGGAUACUAAAUGCUGGUUGUGUCAAAUUCUUCUCUAUGAGAAGCAAUGGAUUUGGGAUGGCGGCAAUUGCCAUUCCUGCACGUGUCCUUCUCUAUGAGAAUCAUCUGAUUGGGCACAUCUCCUCAGGGUUGAUGAUCUCUCCAGGGCAGAAUCAUCUGAUUGGGCACAUCUCCUCAGGCUUGAUGAUCUCACCCGGGGAGAAUAAUAUGUUUGGGCCCAUCUCUCACUAAAGUUUUCAAUCUCUCCCUUUCCUCCGGCACAUUUCCUUCAUCCUUCAAGCAUGCAACCAUAGCGCCAAUUCUGAAAAAGCCCAACUUCGACCCCAACUCCCCAUCCAAUUUGCACCCUACAUCGCUACUGCCGUUUGCCUCCAAGAUCCUUGAGAGAGUUGUGUAUGCAAGAUUGACAGACUUUAUUACGCUGCCUUGGCCACCUUCAUGCUGCUUAAACCUCAAUGGAGAAAUUCCAUAAGAGAGGAUCCGCACUGGGCGUUGUCUCCUAACUAAGUUGCAUGCUCUGUUUGGUGUUCCUAAACAAGGCAUUUAAAUUAAUGUGCAUUAAAUCAGGGACUUUGCUGUGGUCAAAAAACACCUGGAACUUAAGACAGAAAAUAAUUUGGUGACUCCUUCCUAAAGCCCAACACCUGACCCCUCUUCAAACCGAAUCUGUGCUCCUCCACAAUUCCACCGCUCUACAGGCCUCCUGGCAUACUAAGUUACUUACAGACACACAUACACACACCCAAACAAAGGUGUGCAAACACAAAAGACAUGCAGAAGAAUACACAGGCACAGACAAAUACAGACAGGUAUACACAGAUAGGCACACAGCCACAGACAGGUAAAAACAAAUUGGAACACACAGACAAGCACACACAGGUGCAGACAGGUACACAUAGACACACACAGGCAGGUAAACACAGGCACAGACAAGCACAGACAGGCAUGCGCAGGCACACAGAGAGGUAUACAAAAACACAGACAGGUGCUCACAGACAGGUACACACAAACAGGUACACACAGAUACAGACAAAAAUACACAGGAGCACACAGCAACAGACAAGCACACACAGGCACAGCAGAUAGGCACACACCCAUAGGCAUAUAAAGACACAGAUAGGCACACACAGACAAGAGUCAUGGGAAUUUUGUAUUUUAGUAUUACAGAGUUACACUGAAAUAAAUUGUUGGUGACUUGUUUUUGGUGUCUCUAUAAGUGGGAUACCAGAGGACAAAGUGGGACAGGGGCAUAAAAUGGUAUUGUGAAUGUGUUUGUAAAUUGUGGGAUGUUUGUGAUGUAGUGUGUGUAAAUAGAUGUAUGUGUUUGUGGUGUAAUAUGUGUGUCAUGGGGCUGUAGAGAGUGUGUGUGUAUAGGGACUGUAUUUUGUGUUUAUAGGUGUUGCAGUGUGUGUAAGGGAUGCAGUAUGUUUGUGUAGAGAUGACAGUGUGUAUUUAGGAAACAUGGUGUGUGUAUGGAAAGUAGUGUGUGUAGGGGGAUAGAGUGUGUUUUUGCUGGUGAUGCAGUGUGUGUGUGUGUAGGGUAUGUAGUGUGUAAGGAAUGUAUUGUGUUUGAAUCGGUGUGUUUGUGCUGGGGAUGUAGUAUGUGUAGGGAAUGUGUUGUGUGUGUGCUGGUGAUAUAUUUUAUACUUUCAGUGUGACAGACAGUAGAGGUGAAUUUAACCCUGCAAUGUAAACAUUCAAAAUGGACAGGGUGACUAUAGUGUCCUUUUAGAGGUGCAUAUAUAUUUUUGAAGUGAAUGGUUCCAUCCGUUGGCAUUUUUUGCCAUGAUUGGCGAGGUUCAGGAGAAGAAAUUCACAGUAUCCAAUCUACUUCCUAUGGUUUGAAAUUAUUUUGCCUUGGCUUUAUAACACAUAUUGAUUCAUUAAUCUUAAUAGAGCAAGCUGCAAACAUUUGUCACUUCUAUAAGAAACCAUUAAAUUUCAUUUUGGAUGUGCACUGAAUGUUUUAUUAUGUAUACAUAAUGCCUUAUUGUGGUUGCUUGUGGUUUAUGUGUACGGACAUCUAUCUGAUUAUAUUCAGUUUAAUGUGUCCAUUUUCCUGCACACUGAUUAAUUUAUUUUUCUUUCUUUCUUGGCUUAUUUAUAUUGUUUCCAAAAAAGGGAUAGUCUUAAACAGAACAGCUUCCCAAAUGUGAUGCAUCUUAGAUAAAUGUUGCAAAAGCUGGUAGGAGCCACACUCAAUUCCAGCAGCCACCCGGUGCCCUGGAGCAGGACCAGCAAUCCCACAAUGAUAAGACAAUGAAAUAAAUUCUCCAGGCACUCAAGGUGUUAAAGCCGCAGGCAGUUUUAAUUAAACAAAAAGAACAGCAAAAUUUCGACCUACUAUGAGGUAUUUGUCAAGGUAACACCACAAAGCAAACAUGAGUGUGUAUAUAGCAAUCAGUGCAUAAAAAGGACAUUAUUCUUUGGUGCUUCGGUAAGCAUUCUUUUUUACUCUUUUUACUCUUUUUUUACUCUUAGUUUUAUCUCACUAGAUCUUUAUAUUAUAUUAUUUUGUCUCUCCCUCCUCUGACACACAGAGGUAAGUCAUGGAUUGUUGCAUUUAUAGCUAUUUUGUGUAAUUUGUUUGAUUUGUGUUAAUUACUCUUGUUAAUAAUAUUUACUUAAGUGAAUUAUUGCUUGACCUUUUUAUGCACUGAUUGCUAUAUACACUCAUGUUUGCUUUGUGGUGUUACCUUGACAAUGACCUCAUAGUCGGUCGAAACGUUGCUGUUCUUUUUGUUUAAUUAAAACUGCCUGCGGCUUUACCACCUUGAGUGCCUGGAGAAUUUCUUUCAUGGCAUUUUCGGUAUAUAACAUCAGCCCGUGUCAGCAACAAAGUGCACUUUUUCUGAAAGUGUUCAUCUAUGUAAGAUCUAAGCCUUCGGCACUCCAGGUGUUGAGGACAUCAUCCCUGAUGUUUUUCCAGCAUUAUGGCGGUAAGAGCAUUAUGGGAGAUGUAGUCCACAACAUCGGGAGUGCCAAAGGUUGCCUACCCCUGCGUAGGUUAUAGCUGUCCAUGAUAUUCGUCACAUGACCUCAAAAAGGCUAAAGUUAGAGUUUACCCUGAAUAAUUUGAACUGUGAUAUUCAACAGUUACUAAAUAUAUUGCAUCCAGAGCACUAACCUCUGAGCUAUCAUAUUGACUAUAUCGCCUAGUCCCUAGAUAUGUGAAAAAGGACCCUGACCCAAUCCCAUUUCCAUAACGUUUCUCUUAUAAGUGUUUCCCACUCUAUAGACGUGUUAAAUUGAGAGUAUAAUCAUGGUAUUAGAACAUGGCUAUUCUGCAUCUGGGUUCCCAGCUGUGUUUACAAAUUGACCUUAAGGCACACAUGUGGUACACUAUUAAUAUAUAUAUAUUUGAUUUGAUGUAUGUAUUUUCUAGAAAUAGUUGGCUCAUGGCAUCAUCACAAGAACAGCUGUAAUAUGACGGUGUACAUGUCAACUUAAUAAUGGAGGCUUAGUGACACACACUUUGUCACUGGCACCCCGACCUGGCACCCCGACUGGGUAUCUCCGUUGAAGGAUGCUCCUAGCGCUUCCUGAGGACUCCAAGCACUGCAGCAGACACCACAACCACCGAACCGGAGAAGCAUACGAAUGCUCUCAAGCAUAUGAAUGCUGUAAGCAGCUGAACAGGAAAAGCAUACAAUCAGCUUACACUCCUGGCAAUCAGCAUACAAUCCAAUUCCCCCAAUAACGAGACGACACUUCGUUUUGAGGUCAAGCAGAACUGCCUGUACUGGCACAUACAGCCUCUUUUAUUCACAAUCCACAAACAUAGUACUGCCCACAGGGUUUUGAAAUACAACCAAUCAAUCCAUACAAUACACACAGAUCCUCCCACACAAAAUCCUCCCCUCUGCCUGUGAUAUGAUUACUGAACACAAUGUUUAAUAUAAUUAUCACAGGCAGAGAAAUACAGUAUUAUAAAACAUAUCACAGGGAUCCCAAAACAUGCAAUAACCCCAUAAAAGUAUAUCCUCGGAACCGGGGGAUCUGGGUGAACCACAUAUCCAAAAUUCACCCAGUUCCGUUCAGUAGUUUGGAAGAUACAGUUUAAUGCAGAUUUUGCAGAACAUUUACAAAUUAUAUAAAAAAUAAUUACUGUAUAAUGUGUCCCCUGUUGUAUAGUUUAAAACUACUGCACAAUGUCUUUGUGCACCAAAUACCGGCGAGAUGGCACCGUGUAGAAAAGUCCAAACAGUGUCUGUGAGUAGUGAUGUACCGAACGGUUCGCCAGCGAACGGUUCCCGGCGAACAUAGCAUGUUCGCGUUCGCCACGGCGGGCGAACAUAUGCGCGGUUCGACCCGCCCCCUAUUCGUCAUCAUUGAGUAAACUUUGACCCUGUACCUCACAGUCAGCAGACACAUUCCAGCCAAUUAGCAGCACACCCUCCCUAGCAGACCCUCCCACCUCCUGGAAGGCAUCCAUUUUAGAUUCAUUCUCAAGCUGCAUGCUUAGUAAGAGGAGGGAAAGUGUAGCUGCUGUUCAUUAGAUAGGGAAAAGCAUAGCUAGGUUAGGGUUAGGGUAUGCUUUUUUUAAAAAAUUUUUUCUAUGUAAUGUAAUUGCACUUAGUUGUCUGCCACUGCUGCCAGCUUCUGUGUCAGGCUCACAGUGCAUACUGUGCCCAUUUCCCCAGACAGUGCCACCACUUACAUCUGGUGUCACAAUAGCUUGGAUUUAAAAACAAAAAACUUUUUUCACUGUUAUAGAUUGAAUAGCAGUCAGUGUCCUUAAAGCAGGUGUGUUACGCUAACAGUGGAUACUGUGCCCAGUGCCACCACUUAGAUCUGGUGAAACAAUAGCUUGGAUUUAAAAACAAAAAACUUUUUUCACUGUUAUAGAUUGAAUAGCAGUCAGUGUCCUUAAAGCGGGUGUGUUACGCUAACAGUGGAUACGGUGACCAGUGCCACCACUCACUGGUGUCAUAAUAGCUUGCAUUUAAAAACAAAAAACCUUUUUCACUGUUAUAGAUUGAAUAGCAGUCAGAGUCCUUAAAGCGGGUGUGUUACGCUAACAGUGGAUACGGUGACCAGUGCCACCACUUAGAUCUGGUGUCACAAUAGCUUGGAUUUAAAAACAAAAAACUUUUUUCACUGUUAUAGAUUGAAUAGCAGUCAGUGUCCUUAAAGCAGGUGUGCUACGCUAACAGUGGAUACGGUGACCAGUGCCACCACUUAUAUCUGGUGACACAAAGCUUGGAUUUAAAAACAAAAAACUUUUUUCACUGUUAUAGAUUGAAUAGCAGUCCUUAAAGCGGGUGUGUUACGCUAACAGUGGAUACGGUGACCAGUGUCACCACUUAGAUCUGGUGUCACAAUAGCUUGGAUUUAAAAACAAAACACUUUUUUCACUGUUAUAGAUUGAAUAGCAGUCAGUGUCCUUAAAGCGGGUGUGUUACGCUAACAGUGGAUACGGUGACCAGUGCCACCACUUAGAUCUGGUGUCACAAUAGCUUAGAUUUAAAAACAAAAAACUUUUUUCACUGUUAUAGAUUGAAUAGCAAAUGCGUCCUUAAAGAGGUGUGUUACGCCAACAGUGGAUACGGUGACCAGUGCCACCCACUUAGAUCUGGUGACACAAUAGCUUGGAUUUAAAAACAAAAACUUUUUUCACUACUGUUAUAGAUUGAAUAGCAGUCAGUGUCCUUGUGCCGGUGUGUUACGCUAACAGUGAUAUCGCGACCAGUGCCACCCUAGAUCUGGUGUCACAAUAGCUUGGAUUUAAAAACAAAAACUUUUUCACUGUUAUAGAUUGAAUAGCAGUCAGUGUCCCAGCGGGUGUGUUACGCUAACAGUGGAUACGGUGACCAGUGCCACCACUUAGAUUUGGUGACACAAUAGCUUGGAUUUAAAAAAAAAAAACUUUUUUCACUGUUAUAGAUUGAAUAGCAGUCAGUGUCCUUAAAGCGGGUGUGUUACGCUAACAGUGGACACAGUGACCAGUGCCACCACUUAUAUCUGGUGUCACAAUAGCUUGGAUUUAAAAACAAAAAUCUUUUUUCACUGUUAUAGAUUGAAUAGCAGUUAGUUAUCUUCAAGCAGGUGUGUUACGCUAACAGUGGAUACGGUGACCAGUGCCACCACUUAGAUCUGGUGUCCCAAUAGCUUGGAUUUAAAAACAAAAAACUUUUUUCACUGUUAUAGAUUGAAUAGCAGUCAGUGUCCUUAAAGCGGGUGUGUUACGCUAACAGUGGAUACGGUGCCCAAUACCACNNNNNNNNNNNNNNNNNNNNNNNNNNNNNNNNNNNNNNNNNNNNNNNNNNNNNNNNNNNNNNNNNNNNNNNNNNNNNNNNNNNNNNNNNNNNNNNNNNNNGUUCACUGACACAAACACUCACGUUCACUGACAGAAACACAUACCGUACACACACACACAAACACUCACGUUCACUGACACAAACACUCACGUUCACUGACACAAACACUCACGUUCACUGACAGAAACACAUACCGUACACACACACACAAACACUCACGUUCACUGACAAACACUCACCUUCACUGACAAAACACAUACCGUACACUCACUGACAGAAACACACACUGACAGAAACAUACACACAGACACACACACUCACUGACACAUACACACACACUCACUGACACAAACACACACACUGACACAAACACACACACAUUCAUUGACAAACACACACUGACAAACAAACAUACACACUGACAGAAACUCACUAGAUUAUAAACACUUUUGCUCUAUUUCAAACACUUGGCUGCUGGGAUAUGAUGUAAUGUAUCCCAGCAGCCCUUUACAUAAUGUGAGCUGAUUGGCCCAUCUGGAGGGGUGAGCUGAUUGGUCCAUCUGGAGGGGUGAGCUAAUUUGGCCCGCGCGGCGCAUCUGGAGGGGUAAGAGAAAGUGACCGGCGGGAGAGUGGUUUUAUAUGCUCCCGCCGGUCCCACGACCCCCUCCCUCCCGCUACCCUGAUUAUGCAGCCGCAGCCGCCACCGCAGCUGACUCCGCCGCAGCCGCCCUCCUUCUUCAUGCUUUCAGUGUCAGAAAGCAUGAAGGUGAGUAUGCCGCCGGACCGGCUUGGCGGCCGCCCGGUCCGGCGGCACCACUAUGAUGUUUUUAUUCUCCACCCCCCCUCACACCUGUGUAUAAGUCGAGCCUGCAAUAUAACAUUAAUUUUGCAGGUAAAAUUUCUCGACUUAUACACGGGUAUAUACGGUAAUAUAAAGAUCUAGUGAGAUAAAACUAAGAGUAAAAAAAAAGAGAGUAAAAAGAGUAAAAAAGAAUGCUUACCGAAGCACCAAAGAAUAACGUCCGGUUAAGUGGAACGCAAGAGAGCAUUUCCUGUACUCUAGAACACAUAGGAACGGCGCAAGCGCAGUCUAAAAACUAUGAUGUUUUUAUUCUCCACCCCCCCUCACACCUGUGUAUAAGUCGAGCCUGCAAUAUAACAUUAAUUUUGCAGGUAAAAUUUCUCGACUUAUACACGGGUAUAUACGGUAAUAUAAAGAUCUAGUGAGAUAAAACUAAGAGUAAAAAAAAAGAGAGUAAAAAGAGUAAAAAAGAAUGCUUACCGAAGCACCAAAGAAUAACGUCCGGUUAAGUGGAACGCAAGAGAGCAUUUCCUGUACUCUAGAACACAUAGGAACGGCGCAAGCGCAGUCUAAAAAAGUCUAAUCAUGAAAAAAGUGAAAACAGUUUGUUUGAUCAUACGUACGAACAGCACUAGAUGUUCGUACGCACAUGCACACUAAAGCACGAACAAUUCAAUCUUCCAAACGGAGAUGAAUAUGCGCACGAUCGUACGAGCGGUCAUUGCUUUUAGACUUUUUUAGACACACAGAGGUAAGUCAUGGAUUGUUGCAUUUAUAGAUAUUUUGUGUAAUUUGUUUGAUUUGUGUUAAUUACUCUUGUUAAUAAUAUUUACUUAAGUGAAUUAUUGCUUGACCUUUUUAUGCACUGAUUGCUAUAUACACUCAUGUUUGCCUUGUGGUGUUACCUUGACAAAGACCUCAUAGUCGGUCGAAACGUUGCUGUUCUUUUUGUUUAAUUAAAACUGCCUGCGGCUUUACCACCUUGAGUGCCUGGAGAAUUUCUUUCAUGGCAUUUUCGGUAUAUAACAUCAGCCCGUGUCAGCAACAAAGUGCACUUUUUCUGAAAGUGUUCAUCUAUGUAAGAUCUAAGCCUUCGGCACUCCAGGUGUUGAGGACAUCAUCCCUGAUGUUUUUCCAGCAUUAUGGCGGUAAGAGCAUUAUGGGAGAUGUAGUCCACAACAUCGGGAGUGCCAAAGGUUGCCUACCCCUGCGUAGGUUAUAGCUGUCCAUGAUAUUCGUCACAUGACCUCAAAAAGGCUAAAGUUAGAGUUUACCCUGAAUAAUUUGAACUGUGAUAUUCAACAGUUAUUAAAUAUAUUGCAUCCAGAGCACUAACCUCUGAGCUAUCAUAUUGACUAUAUCGCCUAGUCCCUAGAUAUGUGAAAAAGGACCCUGACCCAAUCCCAUUUCUAUAACGUUUCUCUUAUAAGUGUUUCCCACUCUAUAGACGUGUUAAAUUGAGAGUAUAAUCAUGGUAUUAGAACAUGGCUAUUCUGCAUCUGGGUUCCCAGCUGUGUUUACAAAUUGACCUUAAGGCACACAUGUGGUACACUAUUAAUAUAUAUAUAUUUGAUUUGAUGUAUGUAUUUUCUAGAAAUAGUUGGCUCAUGGCAUCAUCACAAGAACAGCUGUAAUAUGACGGUGUACAUGUCAACUUAAUAAUGGAGGCUUAGUGACACACACUUUGUCACUGGCACCCUGACCUGGCACCCCGACUGGGUAUCUCCGUUGAAGGAUGCUCCUAGCGCUUCCUGAGGACUCCAAGCACUGCAGCAGACACCACAACCACCGAACCGGAGAAGCAUAUGAAUGCUCUCAAGCAUAUGAAUGCUGUAAGCAGCUGAACAGGAAAAGCAUACAAUCAGCUUACACUCCUGGCUAUCAGCAUACAAUCCAAUUCCCCCAAUAACGAGACGACACUUUGUUUUGAGGUCAAGCAGAACUGCCUGUACUGGCACAUACAGCCUCUUUUAUUCACAAUCCACAAACAUAGUACUGCCCACAGGGUUUUGAAAUACAACCAAUCAAUCCAUACAAUACACACAGAUCCUCCCACACAAAAUCCUCCCCUCUGCCUGUGAUAUGAUUACUGAACACAAUGUUUAAUAUAAUUAUCACAGGCAGAGAAAUACAGUAUUAUAAAACAUAUCACAGGGAUCCCAAAACAUGCAAUAACCCCAUAAAACCGGGGGAUCUGGGUGAACCACAUAUCCAAAAUUCACCCAGAUCCGUUCAGUAGUUUGGAAGAUACAGUUUAAUGCAGAUUUUGCAAAACAUAUACAAAUUAUAUAAAAAAUAAUUACUGUAUAAUGUGUCCCCUGUUGUAUAGUUUAAAACUACUGCACGAUGUCUUUGUGCACCAAAUACCGGCGAGAUGGCACCGUGUAGAAAAGUCCAAACAGUGUCUGUGAGUUAAAAUGGCGGCCAACCAUUGUUCUCACCAUGUGCUUCAUCCAUUGUUCUCACCAUGUGCUUCAUCCAUUGUUCUCACCAUGUGCCUCUGAUACAUGAAAUGGUGGCCACCCAGUAACUCCACAGUAUGUCCCCAGAUGGUUCUUAAAGGCCAGCAGCAGCACAACACAAAUCCAUUAUGCCCAAAUCAUGUCUUUAAAGGGCAAUACAUCCCAGGGGCCAUAGUCACAUGGCAGGAGGCUGGCAAUCAGUCUUCUCCAAUGCCCAGUGGCGAGGUCGGUUUCGCCACACACUUAUUUUUCUUUUAUUUGUCCAUUUUAAAGGUGUACUCACUCACGGUGCAUUUACUUAUGUGAGAAUUCAAAGUGAAUUUCGCAUUUAAAGCUACAGUAGCCCAACUGAAAGCAUAGCUGACCUACAGAUUUUUUUUAAGUUUAGCUAUUUAGCUCUUACAUCUGAAUUUGACUUUGAAUUCACUUUGAAUUCUUACCUUAGUAAAUAACCCUGACUUUGUUUGAUAGCAGUUGCUAUUUGUUUUCUCUCUAAAAUACUAAAAUAGAAUGAAAAUGAGCAUUUUGUGGUAUGAAAGAACGCACAAAGAACCUUAACAAUCACUGCAGUACAAAAAAAGGUAUACAAUCAAAAAUAAAAUUUUGGUACUUUGUGUAAAACAGUUUCAUUUGUGCCUUCAUCCAGUACAGCCCACUGUUAUUCCAAGCCUUUUUGUGCACCAAUUCUUCAUUCCCAGGAACUAAACUAAAUACAUCAGACGUGGAAGAAACUGUGCCACAAAAAUACAGACAUACAAAACUUCAUAUUUCAAAAUAUUUUAUUGGAUGUUUCAAAAAUAAAUAAAUCUUUCUGAGUUAGAGACAUCUAGGAGGGGAAUAAAAACAAGUAUGACUAACGCGUUUUGCAUUAUGCGCAGACGUAAAACAGCAAUGGAACAAAUACAAACACUUAUAUAACACGCGUUUAAGACCAGUUCAUAUAUAUAUUUCACCUGCUUCAUAAUGCACUCUUCAAAAUACAUAAUGGAUAGAGAAUUAAUCAUUUAUGUGGCUAUACAAACUAGGCUGACCCUUUUAAAAGUCAUAUUGCAUUGUAAAUGUCUUGGGAUUUUAUACACUUUCCUAUGGCUAUAUCUCUAUAGAAAAUGAAUAGAUCAUUUUGUUUAUUACAAAUUUUAUAGACGUGUUCAUUCAGCUCAUUCAGUUUAAAGAUUACCGUAUUUUCCGGCGUAUAAGACGACUUUUUAACCCCUGAAAAUCUUUUCAAAAGUCGGGGGUCGUCUUAUACGCUGGGUAUCGUCUUAUGGCUGGAAGUUACCACAGCAAGCCAUUACGUCGCCACAUAUGGUGGGGGGAGCUCAAAAAGGCCGUGGCCGCAUCCCCGCCGUAUGGAAGCAGCAAAGGCGGCGCUGUAGAAGAAGCCCUUCUAUCCUAUUACCGUACCUCCUUCUCUGCCUGUUCAUUCUCGCACAUGCGCUGAUUCACUGCAGUCUGUAGGAGCGAGAUCUCAGAUCUGCAGUGAAGCGUCGCAGGCGCGCAUGUGCGAGAUCUGAGAGGCAGAGAAGGAGGUAUGGUAAUAGGAUACAAGAGCGGGCCAGACCAGUGAAAGAGGCAUGUUUUCCUUGGAGACAGGGAGGGCUGGGCAGGCAGGGAGAGCUGACCAAUCCAACCAGCCAAUCGCCGGUAAGGUACAUCACUUGCCGUGAUUGGCUGGUUGUUUUGGUUAUACUGGGUACCACAUACAGUUCAGCACCAGUAUCUGUACCUGUUCAUACAGUACAGUACCAGUAUCUGUACCUGUUCAUACAGUACAGUACCAGUACAGUAAAUACAGUACAUACAGUACAUACAGUACAGUAUACAAAUGUACAACAGUCAAAACCCCAUCAUGGCUCCACCAGCACGAAGAAAGAAAUAUGAAGCCAGUUUCAACACCUAACACAUUUGAUUUGAGAUUUUUGCAGAAUGAAUAGGGGCUAAUGGAGCUGUAGCUCCAGGUUCAUGACUGUGGAAUAGGCCCACCUAACUUUUAAUCUUUCCAUCAACAUUCCAUUUCACAGGACACCAAUUUUGGGAAGCAUGGAUUUGGUUGAGAGAUGAAAGCUAAAGACGAAAGUGCAAUCACCGGAGCUGGACUUUUUUUUUUUUUUUUUUUAUUCCUUGUUUUGGGGGACCAGCAUAGAAAGGGUUGCUCUCACCAAGAACAGUAUUUUGGUAAAACACUGUUUCUUGGUUAAGGGGUUGGUCAUUUUCUACCUGAUGAAAAAAAGAUGAGGGUCUUUUUUCACAAACAACCACACAAGUCCCAAUAAAUGUUUAAUAUCUUAGGGCAAGAACAGUGUGAUCUUUGGUCGGGUAAAUGAAUAAUCCUGGUCAAUGAUCAGUCAAAUGACAGACAGCUGGGAUGGAAUGAUGGGGAACCUGACUAUUUUCCUAUAAAUAAUGAAAUAUUGGAUAUUUACACUAUAGGCUAUUUUGCGUAGUGGCAUCUAUCAUUAUUGGAAUUUAAAUAGAUAUCGAUACACUGAUCAGCCAAAUUAAAAACACCUGUCUCAUACCAUGUAGGCCCCCCUCGUGAUGUCAAAGCAGCUCUGAUGUGUGGAAGAAUAGACUCCACAAAUCCUCUGAAUGUAUCUGGCACCAAGACAUUAGCAGCAGAUCCUUUAAGUCCUAUAAAUUCUGAGGUGUGGCCUCCAUGGAUUGGGAUUUGUUGUUCCAGCACAUCCCAAGAUAUUGAAUCGGAUUGAGAUCUGAUGAAUUUGGAGGCUAAGUCAACACUUGGAACUCUUUCUCAUGUUCCUCAAACCAUUGCUGAACACUUUUUGCAGUUUAGCAGGGUGCAUUAUUCUACUGAAAGAGGCCACUGCUAUCUGGGAACACCAUUGCCAUGAAGGGGUGUACGUGGUCUGCAACAAUCUCUUAGUAGGUGGUACCUGUCAAAGUAAUAUCCACAUGAAUGCCAGGAUCCAAGGUUUCCCAACAGAACAUCAUAACACUCAGUCUACUUGCCCUUUUCCCGUAGUGCAUUCUGUUGCCAACUCUUUCCCAGAUAAACAAUGCCAUCACAUGAUCUAAAAGAAAGCAUGAUGCAUUAAACCAGGCAACCUUUUUUCAUUGCUAGAUGGUCCAGUUCUUACACUCACGUCAUCUGACCCAGUUGUCUAGCCAUCACUAGUUGCCCAUUGUCAAAGUCACUCAGAUUUUAUCACUUGUCCAUUUUUCUUGCUUCCAACACAUGAAAUUUCAAGAACUGACUGUUCACUUGCUGCCUAAUAUAUCCCCACCCCUUGACAGUUGCCAUUGUAACAAUAUAUUCAAUGUUAUUAACUUUCCCUGUCAGUGGUUUUAAUGUUGUGGCUGAUCAGUGUAUUUGAAAAUGUUUGUGUUACAAUUUUGUUAAUGAAAGCGGCACUGUCAUGCCGAACUUACCUUUCCUCAAUCUCUUCCUCUUCUCCCCCUCUCUCAGGAUCUGUUAUUCUUUUCUUCCUGUCUUCUUUAGUUUUCUUUAAAAUCAUAAGACAAAGUAGGGACUCUUUGCCUUAUGGAGGAUUCCUCCGCUUGACCAGCUCUGACCAGCGGAGGAGCAAAGUGUGCUUCAUUUCCGCUGGUCAGAGCAAUUUUCCCAUGAUCCUUACCUUCCCUCUGUGUUCCCACGAUGCUUCCUGUCACUUUACACAAAACUGCCGAAUUGCGUUCUAACUGAAUGAGAACAGUAUGUUCGUUUCUUUUAGAACUCAAUUCGGCACUUUGUUCGGAUCGGAAUUUCAUUAGAAUGAAUGAAACUCUGAUCCUAUUCAUUGCUGUGGCUGCAUCUUGCAGCCGCUUAGUAGAUAACUCCCUAAUUCCCACGGUAUCAGGGAGUUAUCUACUAAAAGGCUGAAAGACCUAAAUUGGUCUUUCAGCCACAUUUACUAAUACUAAGUAAAGGUUACUUAGUAUUAGUAAAUUAAAUGCCCCUACUCGCUAUACUGCGAGUAGGGGCAUGUCUGAUAAACAGUGAGCAGCCUGUGGCUGCUCACUGUAAAAAAAACAAAAAAACUAUUGGCCCCCACCCCUAAACGACGGGUGGGGGCCCUAAAAUAAAAUAAGGGGGGAGACCUAAUUACCUACUGCCCCCCCGCCCCCACCCCUGGGCGGCGGGUGGGGGCAAUAAUGAGGGGGGGGAACCUACUGCCCCCCCGCCCCCACCCCUGGGCGGCGGGAGGGGGCCAUAAGGAGAAUGGGGGGGAACUACUGCCCCCCCCGGCCCCCACCCCUGGGCGGCGGGUGGGGGCCCUAAGUCAAUUACCCCCCCGAUCCAAGGUGACUAGGGGUCCCCAAGCCCCUAGUCACCCACCCCCCACCCAAAAAAAAAAGUCCCUACCUACCCCCCUCACCCUAAAAAAUAGUGAGGGGGGGGAUAAAAUAACUAACCUGUAAAAUAAAAUUAAACUUACCAUUCGACGUCUUCUUUUUUCUCAAAUCUUCUUUUUUCAGCCCCAAAAAAGGCCAAAUAAAAAACCAUCAUAACCGUCGAAUUGAAAAUAAAAUAAAAAUCCAGAGCGUAAAAAAAAAAACAGACGAAAAAUAAAAAAAUAAUCCAUCUUCACCCAUGGAGGGCUCCGCGCAGACUGAGCUCUGCAGGGCGGGGGAAGGCUUAUAAAGCCUUGCCACGCCCUGCAAUUAGGCUAAGAACACUCUGAUUGGUGGGUUUAAGCCAAUCAGAGUGCUCUUUGUCAUUUUACACAGUGUGGGAAAAUUGAACUUUCCCACGCUGUGUAAAAUGACACAGAGUACUGUGAUUGGAUGGCUUGAAAUCCAUCCAAUCACAGUGCUCUGUGUCAUUUUACACAGCGCGGGAAAAUUCAAAAGAACUUUCCCACGCUGUGUAAAAUGACACAGAGCACUGUGAUUGGAUGGCUUGAAAUCCAUCCAAUCACAGUGCUCUGUGUCAUUUUACACAGCGUGGGAAAGUUCUUUUGGAUUUUCCCACGCUGUGUAAAAUGACACAGAACACCGUGAUUGGAUGGCUUGAAAUCCAUCCAAUCACAGUGCUCUGUGUCAUUUUACACAGCGUGGGAAAGUUCUUUUGGAUUUUCCCACGCUGUGUAAAAUGACAAAGAACACUCUGAUUGGCUUAAACCCACCAAUCAGAGUGUUCUUAGCCUAAUUGCAGGGCGGGGCAAGGCUUUACAAGCCUUCCCCCGCUCUGCGGAGCUCAGUCUGCGCGGAGCCCUCCAUGGGUGAAGAUGGAUUAUUUUUUUGCGCUCGGGUUUUUUUUUUUUCGUCGGGUUUUUUAAUUUUGCGCUCGGGAUUUUUAUUUUAUUUUCAAUUCGACGGUUAUGAUGGUUUUUUUAUUUGGCCUUUUUUGGGGCUGAAAAAAGAAGAUUUGAGAAAAAAGAAGACGUCGAAUGGUAAGUUUAAUUUUAUUUUACAGGUUAGUUAUUUUAUCCCCCCCCUCACUAUUUUAUACGGUGAGGGGGGUAGGUAGGGACUUGUUUUUUUUUUUGGGUGGGGGUGGGUGACUAGGGGCUUGGGGACCCCUAGUCACCUUGGGGGACGGGGGGGUAAUUGACUUAGGGCCCCCACCCGCCGCCCAGGGGUGGGGGCCGGGGGGGAGGACAGUAGGUCCCCCCCCCCUCAUUAUCUUCAUGGCCCCCACCCGCCGCCCAGGGGUGGGGGCCGGGGGGGGGCAGUAGGUCCCCCCCCCAUUCUCAAUAUGGCCCCCACCCGCCGCCCAGGGGUGGGGGCCGGGGGGGGGAGGACAGUAGGUCCCCCCCCUCAUUAUCUUCAUGGCCCCCACCCGCCGCCCAGGGGUGGGGGCCGGGGGGGGGGCAGUAGGUCCCCCCCCCAUUCUCAUUAUGGCCCCCACCCGCCGCCCAGGGGUGGGGGCCGGGGGGGGGGAGUACUGUAGGCCCCCCCCCCCAUUCUCAUAUGGCCCCCACCCGCCGCCCAGGGGUGGGGGCGGGGGGGAGGACAGUAGGUCCCCCCCCCUCACCCGCCGCCCAGGGGUGGGGGGAGUACUCCCCCCCCAUUCUCACUGUUUAGGGGUGGGGGCCAAUAGUUGUUUUUUUUUGUUUUACAGUGAGCAGCCACAGGCUGCUCACUGUUUAGUGGACAUGCCCCUACUCGCGGUAUAGCGAGUAGGGGCAUUUGGGAGAUUUUAAUCUCCCUUGUGCUAUUAUGGGGGUCAUAUUGACCCCCAUAGAGUGAGAGGGGGACCUGGGGGGCUUAUGAAGUGGUGGGGAGCACUGCUCCCUGCCGCUUCUAUAGUUACAUAUUACAAGGAGGGAGCUGCGUGCCGGUAGCUCCCUCCUUGUAAUAAACUGCACGAACAAACUAACACUGAUACAUUGUGUUUGUUUGUUUGUUCGGCUGAUCUUUCUAUUCACUCAUUCGUCUGUCUGAUGAAUGAAUGAAUAGCUGAAAUUCCCGUUCGCAUGUCCAGGUGUUUCACUGGGCAUGUGCGGGAAUCUCAGUGUCUGCCUAGUGUGGGCUGAUGACGUGUCCCACAGGGACUUCACCUACCCACACAAAGAUGGCUGCGCCCUGAAUCAAGAUCGGGGCAGAAAAUAAGGAUUUAAAAAUAGGUAAUGUGGGGGGCUUAGGGGCAUUUGGGGGUGACUAGUGGGUCAAUUGGAUGUAGUGGAGGCGGGAGGGGGGUUAAAAAAAAAACAGAAUUCUGCAUGACAGUGCCGCUUUAAGAAAAACUAAAUGGUGCUUACUUGAUUAAGUUUUGUGAUUCAUGAACAAGAUUCCAACAGCAAUUCAAUAAGUAAGGUUAAAUCCAGAGAAAAUAAUGCAGUUCCUUUUUGGAAUGAAUUUACAUGUUUCAGUGGAAUGGAAUUAAUGCAAUUAACCCCUUAACCUCUUAAGGAUGGCGGCGUUCUGUGUCGUCCUUUUUAGGGUGGCUCUAAACGCUGGAGGGCGGCAUAGAACGUCAACGCCAUCCAGGGGACUUACCGGUGUCCCUAGUGAUCCCACUCUGGCGGUCACGAUCUUGGGGUCUGCCUGGGAGCGUUGCCCGAUCCGGCCCUCCCGGGCCACGUAAUCAUGGGGUUCUUGUGAUCACAUGGCUGGAAUAGCUGACCUGAACUUCCAGGGUGUCAUCCUAGAGCCUGCAAAAAGUUUUAAAAGUUAAAAUAAAGCAGUUUAUAGAUUAAAUAAAAAGUACUUAGAUCAUAUACAGUGGGACCUCAGUUUACAAAUUUAAUGCGUUCUUAUUGUGAAACAUUUGUAAACCGAAACGUGGUUUCCCAUAGGAAUGCAUUGAAAACCAAUUAAUCCAUUCUGGAGGUCAGAAAAAAGUCAAAAUGAGCUGGCAUGGAAACCAACCUACAAUGCAGAGCACACAAUAAAAGGCAUACAAACGACGAAGCUCAGCUUCCUACCUUUCCACAGCUUAAAGGACCACUCUAGGCACACAGACCACUUCAGCUUAAUGAAGUGGUCUGGGUGCCAGGUCCCUCUAGGAUUAACCCUUUUUUUAUAAACAUAGCAGUUUCAGAGAAACUGCUAUGUUUAUAAAUGGGUUAAUCCAGCCUCCAAAGCCUCUAGUAGCUGUCUCAUUGACAGCCGCUAGAGGCGCUGAAAAUCACAGUGAGAAGACGCCAGCGUCCAUAGGAAAGCAUUAUGAAUGCUUUCCUAUGAGACCGGCUGAAUGCGGGCGCAGCCCCUGCAAUGCAUGUGCAUUCAGCUGAAGAGGAGGAUCNNNNNNNNNNNNNNNNNNNNNNNNNNNNNNNNNNNNNNNNNNNNNNNNNNNNNNNNNNNNNNNNNNNNNNNNNNNNNNNNNNNNNNNNNNNNNNNNNNNNAAUAGAUGAAAUUCCCGUUCGCAUGUCCAGGUGUUUCACUGGGCAUGUGCGGGAAUCUCAGUGUCUGCCUAGUGUGGGCUGAUGACGUGUCCCUGAGGGACUUCAUCUACCCACACAAAGAUGACGGCGCCCUGAAUAUAGAUCGGGGCAGAAAAUAAGGAUUAAUAAAUAGGUAAUGCUGGGGGCUUAGGGGCAUUUGGGGGUGACUAGUGGGUCAAUUGGAUGUAGUGGAGGCGGGAGAGGGGUUAAAAAAAAAAACAGAAUUCGGCAUGACAGUGCCGCUUGAAAUCUAGGCAGUAUGUUUAGGUGAUACAUUUAUAAACUUAGUGAAUAAUCUGCUAGUUGAGAUACAUUGCAGCACACCUGGUUCUUCGGCACAGAGAUUUAGAGUAAUUCGCAGAUACAACGAAUGUAUAAUCAGCCAUUGAAUUAUCUGUUAUUAAGUAAUAUUUCUCUCCUUGUCUGAGCACAUUAAUUACACAUUGAAUAAUAUAAUCCCAUUACUCCUUCCUUUGAUCUGUCUAAACUUCUUGUAGUCUCAAUAGGUCAGUCUUAUGACAGUGUCAACCAGUCCAAUUUCAGAGUACCCUAUCUCCAGAUAAAAAUCUAAUUUGCACUGACAUAGCGGCUCUCAAGGAAGUGUCAAAUCUCAUUUGCUGUGACAACACCACAAAUCAACUCAAGCAUUUACAUGUGCGGCUUAGCUUGGCUAUAGAAGAGUUAAAGUAAAUUGAGCAGAAAUUCAUAUGGCCAAGUAUAUAAUGCAUUUACAUACCAUCCAUCUAAGUCCCGCAAUGUUAAUUUAUUUAUAAGAAAUAUAUGAAUAGUUCUUAAAGGGGCACUGAAGCAUUUUCCCAUUGAGCCAUAAGCCAAUUAUGCUUGCUUAACAUUGCAGUCUACGGUUCUGAAAUUCUGUAAUUGUUUUCUUUGAGUCUGUUCUGGUACCGCAGGUUCAACGAAUCAUGGUUACUGCAAGCAUUUCACUGGUUGUGAAACAAGGUUAUAUGGGGGUCUGGGGCAGGAAUAUUCGUGAAACCACCAAUUCAAAUUUUUUUCAACAAAGAAUUUACUAAGGGGAACACCAGUUCAAUAUAUAUCAAAAUAUUAGAAUAUUGUUAAAAAUAUUAAAUCCUUUUAAAGAUGUAUCAAAAAUGUUAAAUCUUUUGAAAAGCUUGUCCAAAAAUAUAAAAUCAAAGCCAUAUUUAAGUAAUAAAGACGCUCUACUCCCAGAGGGGCAGCAACAUAAUGCUUUCCAUUACAAUCUCAUCUCUUGCAGUGAAAAGGUUAUUGUGUGUUCUAAUGUACUGCGCUGUCUCUUUGCCUAUCUAGAAGCCUGGGUGAAGCUCCCAGUACUCUCUGGCCCACUGAUAAUUGCCGGCUGGGAGUCUUUCCCUCAGCACUCAUCAUUAGAGCGAGCUGCCCUGAGCACGCUCUGUCUGGUAUAAUAGCACUAGAUUGAUGGGGACUGCCCGAUGACUUGUAACUAACUCUGUGCUGCCCAGAACACAUUGAGAUCCAGAACAGAAACUGCGCAAGGGAAUAUUGGGAAGGAAGAUAAGUUUGUGUGUAACGUGCUUUUAGAAAACUCGAAACACAGAUCAUGCUAAAUGCACCUGGAAGUACAGAAUUCAGGCACAUCUUUGCAAAUAAAUGCAUCUUCGGCACUUGGCAUUUCUGCGGCAUUCAGGGUUAUGUCAAGAUUAAUGUGGUGAUUGGUCAUCAAUUAGAUGUUGGGUCGGCAGAGUUUGCAGGAUAAUAACUGAGAGAAUGUUGUCUGAAAGUUUGCCUCCACGGCCUUAUGAUUUAUGAUUUUAGAGAUUAACCCCAUAAAUAGGUACACGAAAACAAACAUAUACAAGGUACAACAAUUCUAGCCCUUGAAUCGGAAGUGAAAGAUUAUUAUUAUUAUUAUGAUGUUAUUAUUUAUAUAGCGCCACCAAAUUCUGCAUCGCUUUACAAUGGGUGGACGAACAGACAUGUAGUUGUAACCAGACAAGUUGGACACACAGGAACAGAGGGGUUGAGGGCCCUGCUCAAUGAGCUUACAUGCUAGAGGGAGUGGGGUAAAAUGACACAAAAGGUAAGGAUAGUAUUAGACUAGCGACAGUUGCAAGAGAGGAAUCAGUUGGGAGGUAUUAACAGUUUAAUUGAUACACUUUUAUGAAGAAGUGGGUUUUUAACGAUUUUUUGAAGGAGUGGAGACUGGGUGAGCAUCUAACGGAGGAGGGAAGCGAGUUCCACAGGAACGGUGCAGCCCUCAAGAAAUCUUGAAGGCGAGCAUCAGAGGUGGGAGUACGGACAGAAGAUAGAUGUAAGUCUUCAGCAGAUCGUAAGGGCCUAGACGGGACACACUUGUGUAUUAGGGAGAAUAGAUAUGUGUUCAAGAUAAAUAAUGUUCAGAUCUGCGUUACUUUUGCACAGUCUUACAGCAUUUAUAUGGUGUAUCGAUAAAGCAGAUGUACAUUAAAGCGGAACUGUAACAAAAAUAUUAACUUUAUCUAAUUUGCUUCUAUAUUACUCCCCGUGUUUGACUCUCUCUUUAUUAUUUUCCUGAGUGCUCUAGUUUUCAUAAAUACAUAAAAGGUAGUGACUAUUUUUCCACAUGUAUAGCAGUCAAUAUAAAACAUGACAAUGAGCAAGGUUCUGUUGCAGUUGCCAAUCACAUUUACCCACACUCCAUUAGUAAAAGAAUCUUGCAGGAGGGGAGACAGCAGACUUCAGGGAAAGUGGAAAAAAAAAAUGGCUGCUCCCAGGUAUUGAAAACUGGCACAAAAAAAGUUAAAAUAAAUCUAGACGAAGGCAAGAGGCAAGGGAAGAGGGUGUAAUUAUUAAUAUAAAGGGGCAUAAUGAAAGGAAAACCAAAAGACAAACCAAACUAAACAUGUCCCUUUAAGAAGUAUAUUGGUUCUUACUGGAAUUCCCCAUGUAUGAUCUGAUCUAUGCAACUGCACAUGUGGACACAUAUUAUACAAACAUUCAACCACAAGCCACCCAAGAGUAGUGGGAGUUUGAGCGCAGGGCUUAAUUUUGUGUGUUUGUAUUACACAGUCAUGUUAGAGUGCUGCUACCCACCCAGUGUGUUCCCUAUUAAGGGUUAAUAAGUAUGUAGGGGGUUUAUAAGAAUACACCUUUUUGUCUCAUAACAGAUUUUGCCUUUUAGCUGAAAGCAGGAAGGUGAAUUGUUAGUGUGGGACUUAUUGAUGUGGCAGGUAAGUUUACACUUUAGUGGCCAUUGGAGUGAUAUUCUGGGUCAGCAAUAGCUAAUGUAUUCAUCAACCCAAAUUCAUUUAUCUAUUUAGGCUGGUGAAUAAUAUAGCUAUUGUUGACUCAAGAGUAGUGGGAGUCUGAGCGCCGGUACAAGUUUUAUUCCCAAUACAUGGAAUUGGAAUUGUCGUUGCCAAUGGCAGCUUAACCUAUGUUAACCCUUUUUUUGGUGUUGCCCCUUGUUUCUCACAGUAAAAGGCUAAUCUCAGACUGAAUGACCUAUAGAGAGAUGUAACAGCCAGUUAAUUGGUUACAAAUUACCGUAUCCUGUUGAUUUGUCAGCUGAAUAUGUUGUGUGUGGGAAACUGUGCCAACCCUCUUCUAAUUCCCAUUCUUCCUUCUUCUCACGGACUCUCCUCCCAUAUACUAAUGUCUCUCCUCUUUCCCCUGUCUUUACCUCUUUUCUGUUCUUAAAUGACACGGGAUUCACUAAAGUAAAAACUGUUGAGAAUUGAAAGUGAAUAUCAUAUUUUAUUCCAAAAUAGACAAAAUUGAAAAAUUCUCCUAGUCAGGUGAGAGUGCCCUUAAAUUUGAAACUCACUUUGAAUUCCUGACAUUUCUCACCUUAGUAAAUAACCCUGUUAUUAUUUCGAGAUAUAGCUAUUUGCGAGUUAUGAAAAUGGUGCCCUUUAUAUGCCUUUAAGCUUUGAUAAUUCAGUAUGAAUUAAAAACUAUAUAUUUUGUGGCUUUAGGAAUGUGAAGGUGCUCUACAUCUUGAUCAUCAUACUAAUCACUUGCAGUUUAACUAUAUCAUUCUCAUACCACCCAACUCCAGCAUUCAGAGAAUUGGGAUACUGGUAGGGGGGAGUAAAGGGAACAGGCCAGUGAUGCGAUGCGCCACCUUUACUGGCAGUACCGGAUACACGCCAGGUUACCUGCCCGUCUUUUAAAGCCAGAUACUGUGGGCUGACCCCGAAUGGAGCACUAUAUUUUAGUUCUCCCUGCAAAGUCCUAGUGCCCAUCUUACGAUGCCUUUGCACUAUGCUUGUUGGUGACAGAUUCCUGGUGUCCCAAAAAGCAGUACCAGGGAUCUAAUUCGGGACUCUGGAACAGCAAAUCAAAAUCGGGUCUGUCCCACAGAAAUCGGGAUGGUUGAAAGGAAUGCAUCCUACGCCCUGAUCCUAGACAUGUAUACGCAUAUCAGUAAAUGAACUUUCACUCACCCUUACUGGAACCAAAACAGGGCAAUGCAUUCAGUUCCCGAGAGCAAAUAAGCAAAAUCAUAUAAAUAUUCUAUUUACCAUGCCUUCAUUGAAUUGUGGUAUGGCAUGUAGGUGACAUGUGAAUGUCUGCUUGUCUCCCUCCCGUAGGCCACAGCUACACGAAAGGACCUCUCACCUUCAGCUGGUGGCAAUUGCAGGGGAACAGGGCAAAGUUAACAUUUCUCAAGGGAGAACUAAACACCCGCUCCCUCCUCCUUCUCAGGACAUAGCACAUUACAGCCACUGGAUAGAAGCACAGUCAAGCUGAUAUGGCUUUAGGGAAGGUGACAGCGAGCGGAACAGGGAUCUGUCACAGGCUGUUUAGAUCAGCCCAAAUCUCCCUCUGAGAUUGAGAAGCGAGGACAAGGAUUCAAGGUUUCCGAGGCUGUAGGAAUGUGAAGAGCCAUUACUCUGUAUUUACCGACCCAGCAUUCCAUUCAUUUUUAAUAAGUCCCCAGAUAAUGUUUUAUUCAUGCAAUUAAUGGUGGAUGCAUCAGUUGUACUCAAAGAAAAUACCAAGUGAACUCAUUUUUGGAGAAUGAUAAAAUAAUUGAAUUAUAUACUGUAAUCUUUACCCAAUAAUGUUUCAGCCACAGGUUGAUUUUUCCUGUAUAUAUUAGGCCUUAAAAAAAAAGUUAAAAAAAAAAAAACCAGGAUCUCACAAAAGUGAGUACACCCCUCACAUUUUUGUAAAUAUUUUAUUAUAUCUUUUCAUGUGACAACACUGAAGAAAUGACACACUGCUACAAUGUAAAGUAGUAAGUGUACAGCCUGUAUAACAGUGUAAAUUUGCUGUCCCUUCAAAAUAACUUAACACACAGCCAUUAAUGUCUCAACCGUUGGCAACAAAAGUGAGUACACCCCUAAGUGGAAAUGUCCAAAUUGGGCCCAAAGUGUCAAUAUUUUGUGUGGCCACCAUUAUUUUCAGCACUGCCUUAACCCUCAUGGGCAUGGAGUUCACCAGGGCUUCACAGGUUGCCACUGGAGUCCUCUUCCACUCCUCCAUGAUGACAUCACGGAGCUGGUGGAUGUUAGAGACCUUGCACUCCCCCACCUUCCAUUUGAGGAUGCCCCACAGAUGCUCAAUAGGGUUUAUGUCUGGAGACAUGCUUGGCCAGUCCAUCACCUUUACCUUCAGCUUCUUUAGCAAGGCAGUGGUCGCCUUGGAGGUGUGUUUGGGGUCGUUAUAAUGUUGGAAUACUACCCUGUGGCCCAGUCUCUGAAGGGAGGGGAUCAUUCUCUGCCUUAGUAUGUCACAGUACAUGUUGACAUUCAUGGUUCCCUCAAUGAACUGUAGCUCCCCAGUGCCAGCAGCACUCAUGCAGGCCCAGAUCAUGACACCACCAUGCUUGACUGUAGGUAAGACACACUUGUCUUUGUACUCCUCACCUGGUUGCCACCACACACGCUUGACACCAUCUGAACCAAAUAAGUUUAUCAUGGGCUUCAGACCACAUCACGUGGUUCCACUAAUCCAUGUCCUUAGUCUGCUUGUCUUCAGCAAACUUUUUGCAGGCUUUCUUGUGCAUCAUCUUUAGAAGAGGCUUCCUUCUGGGACGACAACCAUGCUGACCAAUUUGAUGCAGUGUGCAGCGUAUGGUCUGAGCACUAACAGGCUGACCCUCCCCUCACCCCUUCAACCUCUGCAGCAAUGCUUGCAGGACUCAUACAUCUAUUUCCCAAAGACAACCUCUGGAUAUGACGCUGAGCACGUGCACUCAACUUCUUUGAUCGACCAUGGUGAGGCCUGUCAUGAGUGGAACCUGUCCUGUGAAACUGCUGUAUGGUCUUGCCCACCGUGCUGAAGCUCAGUUUCAGGGUCUUGGCAAUCUUCUUAUAGCCUAGGCCAUCUUUAUAUAGAGCAACAAUUCUUUUUUUCAGAUCCUCAGAGAAUUCUUUGCCAUAAGGUGCCAUGCUGAACUUCCAGUGACCAGUAGGAGAGAGUGUGAGAGCGAUAACACCAAAUUUAACCCAUUUGGACAUUUCCACUUAGUAGUGUACUCACUUUUGCUGCCAACAGUUUAGACAUUAAGAGUUGUGUGUAGUUAUUUUGAGGGGACAGCAAAUUUAAGGGACGUCGGAAUCCAUGAAAGCUGAUUUGGAUAUGUGGCAGGUCUUUCUACUUGACUUUAAUGGGCAUGUAUAUUUCCAAAGGCCAGCUGCUUCUUCGCCGGAUUUGGAAUUAUUUACGGACGUGUCGGAGAGCAUCGGGUUUGGGGCUUAUUUCGCGGGACACUGGUGUGCAGAACCAUGACCGCAUGAGUGGAAGGCCAGCUUGCUCGCAACUUGGCGUUCCUGGAAUUCUUUCCUCUAGUGGUGGCGCUGACAUUGUGGCGGCUAGAACUGAGGAACAAGAAGGUUAUCUUUUUUACCGACAACACAUCAGUGGUUGAGGUUGUUAAUGGUUUAUCUGCUUCUUCUAUCCCUGUUAUUCGGCUCCUUCGCAGCUUUGUUCUCUCUUGCAUGCAAUUUAAUAUUGUGUUCCGGGCACGUCACGUGCCUAGGUUGUUGAAUCUGUGGCUGACUCGCUCUCUCGUUUUCAGUGAGAGCAGUUUCGGGCAGCAGUUUCAAGCAGCGGCUCCUGGCACUCAGAAGGAGGGAGUGCCUUGUCCGCCGGAAGUGUGGUAGCACGGGACCUCUUGCUUGGCGGACUCAUAAAGUGGUCGUUGGCGCCAUCCACCUGAGUGGCCUAUGUCAAGGUUUGUUAAGAAUGGGAUGCUGCACUGGUGUGUGUGAGAGGGCAGGACUUGGCUGUGGCGCGGUUUGACACUUUGUUAGGGUUAAUUUGUAGGUUAUUUGCUUCAGGGGCAUCUCUGUCUGCUAUAGGGCCAAUGUCACGAACACACCCUACUCCAAGAGUGCGCGUGACGUAGUUGUGGUUGUGAAAGGGUUAAAGUUCACUAUUUGUCUGCACUAGACCGGAAAUAAUAACAAAAUCCCCCUUAAACACCACCCACACUUAAACAUAAUAAUAUAACUAUUACUAUUUUAACGCUGCCACCACCAAGACAAUUUAUAAAUGGGGUGCCUUGGUCCUCCAGGUAAAUCAAUAAUAAAACCCACCAAAUAUUACUUAGUACAAUAUUUAAGUUAUUGCAAAAAUACUAACUAGUCUCUUCAGGUAUCGUGAUUCUUAACCAGACAAAGGCAAAACUUAAUAAAUGAAUGUUUAUUAUGAGCAAAAGAUAGUCACAGUGCAUAUAAAAAAUAUAUGAUAAACAAAUUAUUUACACCAACAACAGAUAAAAACAAAAAGGAUAAAAUACAGAAGUCCUAAUUACUCACUUAGGUUUUCAAAGUACAACUUCUGUCCAGGGGGUCUCUGGCAAGGAAACAUGGUGACUCACUCAAAAUUAGAUCUUGGCCCCAAGCAAGUACACAAACACCCUUCAGAAUCACAGGAGAUAUACCCUGUGAAUUGCCACGCCUCAUCCAGGGGUGGAGCAAUAGGGAUACUAAGUGACCACCUCCUUUGUUUCAGAAACCAACAAGCCACAUACAAGCUUUUGUUUUUAUCUCCUCUACUGUACUUGCCACAGAAAUAAUAAUUGCCUCUAUGAAUUUGUUAUAGUUUUCCCAUUCCAAAGACAUGUUGCACGCCCCACCCACGAUCCAAUAGGAUGGACAUCCCAAGUCCUGCCACACGGUUUAAGUUGUGCAACUCAUGUUUGGGCUUAAUUAAAAGAUUGGGCUUGUCCCAUUCCAAAUAUAAUAAAAAUUAGGCUUAAUUAUUAACCUGUGGGUAAGUAUGAAUUUUUCACUUGGAUAAGAUACUGGAACACAAGGAUCUUCAUGAAACGAAUCCCAUUACCAUUUCAAAUGAUUGAACUAUCCUUUACAAGGUACAUGCCAAAUGGAUGAAGAGACAUUCAGACUUUUCCAAGUGUAGAACCUCACACCUUGCAUACCCUUGAUUACUUCACAUCCAUAUAGUAAAAUCCUUUUCACAUUGCUAUGCCAUUCACACUACCCCUUCUGUCAUCUGACCUCUGUGGGGGUCCCAGCUUCAAAAGAUAUAACCCCUGUUGACCUCAGCAAUAGCAUCUCUGUAAUUUGUACAUUAAAGGAUGAUAUUCCAUAGUGUAAUAAUAAAUUAUACACCCUUGCCGUGACAGCCAAUAUGACAGUUUUUGCAUUAUUAUUUAAGCUUAAUGGGUGGGAGGAUAUAACCAAGUAUUUCCUAGUGUGUCAGGCUAUUAAGGGGUUUUGGAAAGGCAGGUCAUCACGGUAUUAAUGAAGGCCGGUAUCCUUCAAAAUUCUGCAAGGUUUACUCGGUGUGCUUCCAGAGGCUUUGCUGUUUUCCAUAGCAUUUAGUUGGGCCUUUUUCGGGGCGUUUAGGCUAAGUGAGUUGGUGAGCAGCAACCGCUCGGGUGGGGAUGGGUUACAUUGUUCGGACGUGGAUCUGUGGCAGAAUCGGUUGGUGCUACAUCUACACCAUUCCAAAACUGACGUCUUCAGGAAGGGUGCCGUGGUUACGCUUUUUUUGGUGCCAGGUAUGGCGGAAUGUCCUGUUGCAUGUACAGUGGCUUUUCAGGUGGUUCAUUCAGGGAUAGGAGGUUCAUUUUUGUUGCAUGCCGAUGGUUCUGCGUGUGGCCUAAAUUUCAGUUCCUUAGGGUUUUUCAGUUGGCCCCUGGGGCGUUUGGGCUUCGGUCCUCACAGUUAGGUACACACUCGUUCAGGAUUGGGGGUGCAUCGGUUGGGUUUGUGGGAUGAACUGGUCAAAAAGUUCGGGAGGUGGGAAUCGGUGAGAUUCAGGUCAUAUGUGAGGCCCAACCACUUGGUAUAAGUUUUGUUGAAUUGGUUAUGUUUGUUCUCUGUUGGUAAUGUGUUUUUCUUUUGCAGGUUGAAUUGUGUGGGUGAUGUGGACACUCCUAUGUGUACUGGGCACAACGGAGAGCUGCAGUUCGUCAUCAAGGCAUACAGCUGGGCUUUCCAGGCUCAAUGGUGCAGAUUGAAUGGUUUGGUUUUAGGGGGUUCAGUUGGCAAGGGGUUGGCUUUGAGCUAUUCAAGAGGAUUAGUGAGGGUUCAGUGCCUAACUUUGGUUUUUUUCAUGCUGGGGGGAAUGACUUAGGUCUGUUUCGCUGAGGGCUUUGCUCACUGAGAUGAAAAGGGAUUUGAAUAGGUUGAGGCAGUUGGUCCCUGACGUGGUUUUCAUAUGGUCAGAGAUGGUACCGCAAUUGCAAUGGCACCAUGCCAAGGACCACCAGGCAGUGGCAAAAAGUAGGGUAGAUGAAUAAAAUGAUGGCAACUUAUGUUAGGUCCUUGAGGGGGGGGGGGUUGUCAGGCAUUGAGUGUUGGAAGCUCAGUUGGCGAGUUAUUACAGGCAGGAUGGGGUACAUCUAUUGGAGGUGGCUACAAAUUUUUUGGUGUUAGGGUUUCAGGAAGGUUUACACAGAGCCUUGUUUUUUGGUGGGGGCACUCAGGUAGCUCAAGGGGUCGAGCUCUGAGAUAUGGCGGGGGAUGAAUAGAGAAGUUGGGGGAGUAGAUUGUACAUGGAAGAAAGCUGGAAAUCAUGCCCUCGGUGGCAAUGGUUAUGUUAAUUAUAUGUCAUAAUGUGGUUUUACUUAUUGUGAUGUGGGUCAUUGUCUGGGGUAGUAUUGUUAAAGGAGUUGGGGGUGAUAUGUUAUGUCAAUAUGUGACAAUGAUCUUAAAAAUAUUUUAAGUAUUAUUUAUAUAUUAUUAAAGCUGUGACCGAGUAUGUUUGGGGGGUUUUGGGGUUUGUUACGCAUAUGCCAGAAAGGCGACUAUGCAUAUGUCAUGACUUCACAUGUGCAGUCCCAUGUUGAAAUGUGUGCUGACAUGCUGUCAUGUUUAUCCACAUACCUACAGUUUCACAGAAUUCAAGCUUAUAGAGAAUCGGGUGGUAUCUAACAAUACUUUCUUGAGAAACUCGGUGUAGAAUUUGUAGCAGUUUUCUCUGUACAUCUGAUUUUACUAGCCCUUAUAUAUAAAGGUUUGCUUCAAAGUUCUAUUUAAAACAGCAAAUCUUGUUGCUUGAUACACAUAUUCUGUUCUCAUAAUAUGAUGGUUUUUUACAUAAUUUGCCCAUUUUUAAUGAAGGUGUUUCAUGUGCACCGAUUGGUUUGUACAUUUCCUACAAUUGUAGCUGCUAUAAUUUAGUAGCAAUAGUGUCUUCUUGUAUUGUCCUGCUGUCAGUAGUGGUGAAACUUGCUUGCUGAUGUAAGUAGAGAUUGCUUAGAGGUGCGUUAUACUUCUGCCAGUGCGUGUGUCAUCACCAUGCACAUUGUGGAAAACACAUAAUCACAAUGACUUGCAAAGGUAAUAAAACAGGCCCUCUACCCAUUCUACAGUAAUCGGAAGGGACCAGUAUGUCUAUAUCAAACUGUCAAACCAGAGCCGAUAUAACCCCAGUAACACAAUGCUGAAAAUGUGUUUAUUGAUGUAUUCAAAAACGGUCUUGUUUCAGGGUGAAGGGGUUCUCAUUACCUAACCUAUUUUUCAAUUAUAGAGUCUCAGUCUCCUCACUAGUUCAUAUUGCCCUAAGGUUCUCCAGGAGAAGCAAGAUGUGCUAUGUAGACCUGAUACGCCAGUUCUGCUCCCACACACCAAAUGAUGAGCUUCUCUUAAUUGACCUCUCCAAAGGCACAUCAGUGUUGUAAUUGCAACUAUCUUUCACUACUAUACUUUAUGGUCUGUGCAAACACUUAAGAAUGGGUUAUCCAUGCAAGACUACUCAUCUUAGGUAACCUACUAAUUCAACCAGACUGAUCUUGAGACCCAGAGCAUUUCUUGUGGUAGACAGCUCAUUGCUAGACCAUAGUGGGCUGUUCAACCUUUCAUAACUCCCCCUCAGCUAUCGCCCUCUACAGGAAGAUAGAAAACAUAACCUCUCCCAGCUCUUUCACUGUCUACAACUAGACGUUUUCUCAUUUCUUAUCUCCGUACAGUUCAUUGGAAUGCCUAUGCAACUCUAGGCAGUUUCUUGAUAUCUCUAAUUUAUAAGGUCAUUCUCAAUAUUCACUCUUCGUUCACUUGUGGGUAACAGGCCUGUAAGAGAGGAAUGUCAGCUACACAGCCUCUCAAAAGGUACAGAACACAUUAAUUAAAAACACUUCUAAAAUGACCACUUGUAUCCUUAUAGUUUAAUGGCUAAAAACACAAUAGCUCACAGGUGUCUGGUAUCUGGACUUUUGUAGAUAACACCAUAUAUUCCCAACUAGUGCAUCUUUGUCAUAGAGGCUGCAGCCCACAUUCAAGUUUGGUGGACAUGUCUACACAUUCAGCAGAAAUGUGGGCAGAUCUUUAGAAUCAUUCAUUUAGCUUGUGGGACCUCCCUUAUCCAAUGAAUUGCACAACUGAACUGUUCAGGCCGAAUACCAAAAUCAGCCUUCAAACUGAUACACCACCUUUAAAUUGAUACCAGAAUAUAUGUCACCAAGUCAUGGAAAGGUCCUGUGCCCAAAUUGUGCCAAACCCACCACAUAAUCUGGUAUUUCUACUCCACGGAAAAUAUCACCACCACCCUACACAACAACAACAAGUAAGAAUUUGGGUUGUCAAAGGAUUGAUAGACAACAAGAGUGAAAACAACACACUGAAAGAGGAUUCAACUGCCAAUCAAUACCCCAUGAGGCAACAUGAACUUAGAAACUAGGUAAAAUACUGUUAUAUGGAACGUAUUUGCAGGGUGCAGAGAAUUAACUAGGAAAACUAGUUGAGCUAAAAAAAAAGCAGAGUUGGAGAUUUUUUUCAGUUCUGCAAAUUUGACAUAAACCCCAGUAAGUAUUUGUCUGUAGACAUUUAUUUUUACUAUUGUGUUCUGUGUGCAGUUUUCCAUUUCUUUAAAUAACAUCACAUAUCCACCUGAUGUAUUUUUAAUAUUGAGAUGAGAACUCAUAGUAAUACUUAUAAAUACAUUCUGUCUUCUAAAACCCUCGCCCAUUUGUCUAAACUAGAAUAGAUGACCAUUAAUUAGAUUUAUUGCAAUCUACCAUAUGCAGUAUGCGAUCAGAAGGAUGGGACAUACUGUGACCAGUGCCAUUAAAUCACUCUGUACUAACGGUUUAAUUCCAAAUUCGGAUGACCCACUCAACUGAUGACUGGUGGGUAAUAAUUACGACAUUCAGUAUUGGCCUAGUUGUACGUAAGGUCCAGUUUGGGCCAAAGGUAGCAUUUGAUUUUUAAGGGUUAAAAUCAAAACUGAAAAAUGCAUGUGAAAUAUUGCCAGAAGAAAGCAAAUUAGGUUGUUGAAAGGCUCUCACAGUUGCACUUCUGAAUUGGUGAAGUGCUGCAUUGGGUCUUUUAAUUAGAGAAGCUGGAAAGAAAAUGACGAAUCAGCACAUUCUUUGGAGAGAAGGAGGGAGCAUUUUCACAGACAAAGAGACAUAAACCCCUGUUGUUCUGUCUAAAUUUAGCUGCUGCUAUCCAAGCCCUCUGGAGGAAGAAAGAAAUGUAUAAAAGUGUAGAGUUCUGGAUGUUGAAAGGAUGGAGAUUACAUUUUGCAGCUGGUCUUUUCCUGCCAAUAGACAGGCACGCAGGUUUCCCAGUAUCGUGAUAAUAAGAUUGCUUGAUUCACUAGAAACUAAGGACUGGCUUACUAGAGUGCUGCUUCAUGUGAAUAUAUUUCUGCCAGAGCUGGAUUUAAAUUGCCCAGGGUCCUAAGCUGGAUGCCAGAUUGGGGUCCUCUCCUAGAUUUUGGUUUCUGAGAGUGUUGUGGAUGAGUGUUGUAUGUGUGUGGUGGAGACUGAGUGUUAUGUGUGUGAAGGAGAGUUGUGUGUGGAGCUGAUUGUGCCUGUGCGUGUGUGAUGUUGCUGAAAUCUGUGUGAGGAGAAGUCUGAGUGUUGUCUAUCAGUAUGUGAAUCUGACUAUGCGUGACAAAUUUUUUAAUUUAUCCCAUCAUGCUUACCUUUUGGAAAGAGUGUAAUCCCUCGCAGUCCAGAGGAGGUCAGUCUUCGCAGGAUUCCUGGAAUAGGGGAUCAUUGUCGUCUGCACCUUCAUCAGUUGCAGAUCACUUUAAGUGCUCCCUUUCCAUUUUGGCUUUUAGCCAAUGACUCAGAGCAUUAGGGGACUACGAGGGAGCUCUUACAGUGGUCUGCAGACAAUAUUUUUGCAGAACACAACGCUUCUUUGAGCAGGUGAGGUGGUACAAUUCUGAGCAGGGGUGACUUAUUGACCUCAUUGCCAGCUGAAGGAGGGCCUCCUCAUUUGUAUUCCUGACCCUAUAGUGUUCCUUUAAAGAGCUCCCUUUCAGUUCUGACAUUCAGUCAAUGACUCAGAGCACUGGAGAAUGGCAAAGGAGUUCUUACAGUGGUCUGACCAUAACGCUCCCCCGAGCAGGUGAGGUGGCACAAGGGCAAGCACGGGUGACUUAUGGAUUUCCCUUACAGCUGAAGAUGGGUCUUCUCAAAGUCAAAGUCAGAGCUCCAUGUCCAGACAAGGGCCCACCAGGCCCCUGUUUGAGCACGGCCCCUAGGUGGCCGCCUAAUGGGUAAUUUGGUCUGAUUCCUGCUUUGCUUACAUAGGCAUAUAUUGUGUUCCAUAAACUAUGGUUUAUUUUCUAAAUUGUGAAUUACUAUAAAUGUAAUACUAAUUUUCAAAAUCGAGGCCAAAAUUCACGUUGUUGGCUCCGAUAACAUAUCCCUUUAAUAUUCAAUGGGUGAUAUAUAUCAAGGCAAAACAGGUGCAGUUUUGGGGUGCAUGUUGCUUAAUGCUGAGAGACAUGGAGAUGGGAACUAUUGGGAAGUAUACACAUACCACAGCAUAGAACACAUAAUUUGCAUGAUCUCAUGAACACACACCACAUUGCGUGUAGAACUUUAAAAUAAAUAAGGGGCGAGGACAGAUCAUUGUCCACUGACUGCUCCCAUAUGUGGCCAGCGAUUGGAGGCUCUUUAAUAAAAGAGAUUGGGUGGGACAUCCUAAUGCCUCCAUGUGGCCUCACCUGUGUUCAGAUCUGGUGUUUUGGGGGAACCCCUCCCUUUUCUUUUCUUUUCUUUUCUUCUCUUACAGGCAUCAUCCCAUGGGACACUGGGCAUUGAUAGUCUCAUUAUCUGAUCUUUUAUAUUCUGACUAUCUGCAUGCAGCCAUACCCACUAUCUUCACUCAGAUUGUUCCAGUAUCAAAAUACAUCCACCGUUUCCACACAGAAAGGCACUAUAUGUGUGCACAAAUAUACUUGCAAUGGCAAUGAAAAGAUAGUAAGCCCCUCCGAAUUAUCCUUAUUUCUGAAUUUCUUGUUAAGAAAAACUAAUAAACUGAAAACUAAAUGCCUUUUCUAGUCUUGUAUCAACAUUCACUGUCUCUUUUCAUUGUAUCAACAUUUCACGCUUCUGAUAACCAGUCCCUUAAAUCAGGCUUUCAAAAGAAGGUACACCCUCUUUGAAUUAUAUGGUUUUGCAUAUCUAGACAUAAUAAUAAUCUGUUCCUGAGCAGGUCUUAAAAUUAGGUAAAUACAACCCCAGAUGAACCACAACACAUGACAUGUUACACAGUGUCAUGAUUUAUUUAACAAAAAUAAAGCCAAAAUGGAGAAGCCAUGUGUGAAAAACUAAGUACACCUGAUUCAAUAGUUUGUAGAACCACCUGUAGCAGCAAUUACUUGAAGUAAUUGUUUUCUAUAUGACUUUUUAUCAGUCUCUCACAUCGUUGUGGAGAAAUGUUGGCCCACUCUUCUUUCUGACUUUGCUUCAGUUCAUUGAGGUUUGCUGACGUUUGUUUAUGCACAGUUCUUUUACAGUCCUACCACAGCAUUUUAAUCGGGUUGAGGUGUGAAUUUGUGGCUCGGUGAUUGCAACACCCGGAUUCUUUCCUUUUUUCAGCCAUUCUGUUGUAGAUUUGCUGGUGAGCUUGGGACUAUGGUCCAAUUUCAGUCAAGCAUUAGCUGUCGGACGGAUGGCCUCACACUUGACUCUAGAAUACUUUGGUAGACAGAAGAGUUUAUGGUCGACUCGAUGACUGCAAGGUUGCCAGGUCCUGUGGCUGCAAAACAAGACCAAAUCAUCACCCCUCCAUGCUUGACAGAUAUGAGGUGUUUGGGUUUUGGCAAACAUGGUGCUGUGCAUAUUUUUUUUGCAAGUAUGUGCAUUAUGGCCAAACAUCUCCACUUUGGUCUCGCCUGUCCAAAGGAGAUUGUUCCAGACGUUUUGAUGUUUGUUCAGAUACAACUUUACAAACUGAAGCCAUGCUUUCCUCUUGACAACCCUUCCAAACAAACCAUACUUUUUCAGUCUUUGUCUAAUUGUACUGUCAUGAGCUUUAAUAUUUAACAUGCUAACUAAGGCCCAUAGAUUCAGCCUCUAAGUUCCUAUGGAAGCAGCAAGGGUGUAGUUAGGUUUUCUAUGAAUAUUGACUGUUUUAAAUGGUUUCAUCAUAUUAUACACUGUGACACUGGUAAAAAUGGUCGAUUGCUGGUGAUUAUUGAACUCAAGAUUGCUUUACGGAGUCUGAGUAUGGCUUUUUCCAUACGAGCCAUUUUUGAAACACUUAAAGGAACACUCGAUAUACAUAAAACACUUCAUAUUGCUGAAGUGUUUUGUGUGUGAACUGUCUGUCUCCUGACUCUUUUAAAAAAAGUACCAACUUCAAAAUUCCCAGUUUUAUAAUUAUCCCUAAUUACACCUUCCUGGCUUUUAAUCAAACAGCCAGAUGGGUUUUCUGCCUUACUCACUUUAAGUGUUUGCUCAAAGUGGAAGUGAUAUCUUCAAUUGCCUCACAUGCGCUGUGGUACUUAACUGCUUAUCUAAGAGCUGCAUUGGAUAGGCCUGAGAGCAGGCUGUCUUGCCCCUGGAUUUGAGAUAGGUAACUUCAUUUUGGGACACAGGGGAGUGGGGGUUCUAUAUAUAACUAUAAAUAGAACACUCCAAUGUUAGAAACAAUUGUAUUUAUUUUUAAGGUUGUAGUGUUCCCUUUAAUUAUGUUACUUAUUUUUUAUUUAUUUUUUCAUAUUCUAGAAAAUUGGAAGACUAUCAAGCCAGAAUAGCCCCACCCACUUGUUUGGAUAAAGGACUUUUCCUGGAAUACAGCAUUUUGUUUUUGUCAAACAAUGUCAG